AGGCAAAAGCUCGAUAAAAACAAAUACAAAUAUUUGUAUCUGAUGCAUUCCUGUAUUAUCCUACACUUGAAAACAAAGUGUUGGGCAAUUUUACAGUUGCUGAAUAAAAAAGAUUGAAAUUUCACAAGUUGACAGGGUCUCAGCCGAAGUACAGCUACGGUAGUUUAUAGCUGCAAAAACAUUAUUAAACAGAUAACAUAAGAAAAAAGAUGUACAGCAUCUGAGAGAACAAUAUGAGCUCAGCUCAGGUCCGCUUGACAGGGUCGAAGUUGGACACGCCAAUCACAGCUCCAACAAUGGCGACCAGAACCACACCCCCAGCCGCUAUGCUGAGCAAGAAGUUCUUGAGAGAUGGGCUGACUCCAUCAGCCGCUUGAGCCACCUCUGGAAUCAUCAUCGAUGUCGUCAGCGCUGCUGCUGUCAACCCCGUCACCGCCUUUUCCUUGAACGAAGAAGCACCAGCCUUGACUUGGAGCUUUCCGUUGGGUCUUUUAACACCGCCCAUUGCCCUCCAUGGCUUCACCGGAAGUGGCUUAAAGACUGCCUCAGAGCUUGGCAUCCUGUUUUGGGUAGCUCCAGCUAAGGGCAGAGCCAUUGAAGCAGCUGAAGUGGAAGCCAUUGGUUCUUUUUUUCUUUUUUCCUUGCUCUCUUCAGUCUUCACACCGUAAGUCUAAACCCCCCAAAAAAAUCUUCCUCCUUUUGUUUUUGCUGCAAAUGUGUGUGUUUUUUAGAGGAGGGAUAAGGGAAGAAGAAAUGAGAGGUGGGAAAUUGAGAUUUUCUGGUGCCACGUGGCAUUCACAAAUCUAUCUGUCUUACGUGGCAGCAUCUCAAGUUAGAAUUGGUGGAUAAGGUUAUCUUCCAUUGAGGUUGAAAUUUGGGUGGGAUAAUUGAUUGGCUAAUGGCCAUUGAGUGGCACCCUAAAUUGCCAAAACACUGAUUUCUUCUUGACUUGUGUGGCUCUUAAGCUAUUUGGGUUCAUUUUGGACCCAAUAGCAACUUUAUCAAAUACUAUUUUAUUAGGCUAAUGUUAGACUUUAAAACAUUAAUAUGAGAAAACGACAUGUUAUGCUAAUAUCUACAUGUUGAUAUUUUUCGGGAAUAAUCUGAGUUCGAAUCAUUAUUCUACUAAAGAAAAUUAAAAGACGAAAUGAUAUUAGAUCUGAUUUUUCCCCUCUAUUUAAUAAAGUUAACAUUUAUUAUUUAACAAAGUAAAUAUCUUUAAAGCAUUUCUGAUUCUGCAAAUAAAAUGUUUUUUUGGAGUUGAACUGCAAAUAGAAAAAUGAUUUUAAUGUAAUUCUUUAAACAAUAAAUGUUAACUUUAUUUAAAUCUAACUUGUUUAUCAAAAUAUUAUUUAAAUUUUUUCGAUUAAUAGUAGAAGGACCAAUUUGAAUCGAUCCCUAUAGUAAAAGGGCUUACUUGUUAUUUUCAUCAAAUCUAAUCAAAUCCUACUAUUCAUUUUCUUAAAAUAUUAUAUUAACAUUUGCACUUUACCAAAUUAUGUACCAUGCAAUAACCAUGAGGUGUGGUGUGGUGAUUGCUCACCACAUCCUUUAAUCAUGUGGUGGGGGUUCAAUCCUUAUUCAUAGUAAUAGAGCAUAUUUUAUGACCAGCUAUUUCUCUCUAUAGAGAGCACAUACAUCAAGGAGAUUAGUCACUUCUAUCAAUGGUGAAUACCCUAAUUACAACCUAAAAAAAUUUACCAUGGAGAUCCAAUUUUGACAAUGGAUUUAAUAGGGAUUUUUUUUAUUCUGUGAACUUUUAGUUCUCCAAAUUGCUUUUGAUUCAAUAAUGAAAGAAAUGUGUUGUCCAUAUGAAUUCUCAUUCUCUAAGUUUGGUUUGGUUACCUUGCAGAAUACGCGGGUACUAAUGAACAUGUACAAAUCCAGUUGGUUAUGAUAAUAAGAUUUUGAUAGUUUCGGUUUAAGGUUUAAGUUUUUUGUCAUAGAUUUGUAUAUAUAGUUUUGGCAUGUUUAGCCUGGUGUGUUCCAUAAGUAUCUAAUAAAACUUUUUAAUACGCGUGACAGACAAAACACAAUAAGUCAAUUGAAGAAUGAUGAAUAAAUGAUAACUCUCAUAUUUAGAGUUAUUUUAAUAUAGUUUUCAUAGUAUUUUAGGAGGUAAUUUUAGCAUUUAUGUUAGUUUACAUUAUAUUUUAUUUGAAUUUUGUUCAAUUUUGAUCAUUUUUAAAGGUGGUUUGAGUUUACUUGCUAUUUUUUUUCUCAAUUAUAGGCAUCAAAUGAAGAAGUGAAAACUUGGAGCAGAGAGAAAAAAAUGGUAAAGAGAAGUCUUCUACUCUACCAUAUUUAAUUCGGUACAGUGGAGUAAGCUCUUCAAUUUAGAAAUUUUGAUAGCAAGUAGUUCGCUCCACCGCAACUUCUGCGUGCAAUGGAGUGAUGCGAGUAUGAACCCUAAAAAUAGGGAUUACAAAAUUUAAGAAGAACAAAAGAGGAGGAAAAGAGGAAUAAAUCACAUGGGAGCUAAAGAAAUGCUCUCUCACAUCAAGGAAAUUUCAAACUUGCAUUGAUAAGGAAAAAACAAUCCAAAGAGCUCAGCAUAAAUUUUUUAACCAUUUUUUCUCUAGAUUAUUUUCUUUUUACUUUUUAUUAGGGUCAAAGCCAUGAAAUUUUGGUUCGGCAAGCAAGGAUAAAAAUAUAAAUUGUUGAGGGCCAAACUUAAAGUUUUUAUACAAAAAAAUUAAUUUGUAAUACUAAAUAGUAAGUGAACUUAAACUGCAAUAUGUCCAUUUUAUCCAAGGGGGCCCAAGGCCCUUACUUAUCCCCACUAUUUUUUUAUUGAUCUAAGUUCGUCGUGGGUAUCUUUUUGUUAUUUUCUCAACUCAAUAUGAUGGAUCCUAUUUCUUAGUUAACUAAUUUAUUUUCCCUUCAAUGUUUGGAUCCUUGAACUAUAUUUAUUCAACCUUGUGCUUAUUUAAUCUGCUUGCCCAGUCAACAAGUUGUAUUAUUUUUUAUAACCUCGAUUUAUUUUUAAAAAAAAUAUUAGAGUUGAGAUCUAAUCUGAAUAGAUUAGGAUUAACUUAAGUAAUACUGACGAACAAGUUAAUUUGCAAUUUGGGUAGGAAUAUACCUAAUGCCCUAAUCAACACAGCUAGUGGGGAAGAGCGUUUAACUUAGCUAGAUACUAGAAAAGUUUAGUUAUUGUCAUUGAAUCCUAGAUUAGUAAUUACAUAGUUUAAACAAUUGAAGAAGAGAUAAUUGAUUAACCGGAUUAGGUGAAGUUAAAGUUCCAAGUCCAUAAAAUUUGUUGAGAAACUUCGAAAGUUUUCAUUGCUUUAGUUUAGUAAAAUCUUUAUAGUUUGCUUAGUUUAAUUUUAGUAGAAACGAUAAUUUGUUUUUAUUUAUAUGGAUUAGAUAAAACCCAUUUGUUAGUACUCAACAACUUAAAAUUUGACCUUCGUGAGAAUGAUAUCUUUUUUAUCACUUUAUUACUUGAUCAACACAUUCACUUAUGUUACGAAUUUCGGUCAUCAAUAAAAUAUAUAAUUAUAUCAAAAUUAUGCAUUUUUAAUGAAUUAGAUGAUACUAUUGUUAUAAAAAUGUAUCAAAAAGCAUAAACUUGAAAUUUGAGUAGUGAUGCUUAUUUUAAUUGUUAUAUUGCAACAUUUAUUAAGCCACAAUUAAUCUAAAAUAAUACAUGUUAUUAAUAAAUAAUUAAUAUUUUAAUUAUAUAGUUAAAACGAAUAAAAAAUUACUAUACAAAAAUAUGAUUAAUAUGAUUUUAUUUGUUAUUAAUAAUUAAAUAAUAUUACUUAUUCUUAAUCUACUGGAUCCAAUUUCAACUCAAUUCUAUGUUUUAAACGAAUAAAUACUCUAUUUAAAAAAUUAAUUUUAAUUUUUAAUAUAGUAUAAUGAAAAAUAAAAUAUAAUCAUACCAAAACUUUAUUCUCAUUCGAAUUGAGUAUUAGAAAAUCGCAUAGCCCUCUAACUUUAUAAAAAAAAUUUUAAAUUUUUCAUUUAAUUUUUCAUCUCCUUUAAUUCUUAAAUUUGUAAUGUUUGUCUAGUUGCUCCAAAAUGGAUUAAAAAGUUAAUGUUAAUUAACUUUGUUGAUAUGUUAUUUUAGUGACAAUUUACGUAGAUACCACGUCAAUAAUUAAUUUUUAAAAUUUUAAAAAUUCAAAAAAAAUUGUAAAAAUUAUUAAAAAGUACAAAUUUAAAAGUAUGUUUUUUAAUAUUUGUUAAUUUUAAAAACUAUUUAAUUACUAAUAUGGAAUAGGCUAAAUAAGUAAAAUAUCGAAAUGCUAAAAAACGAAAAUUAAAAUAAUUUUUUAUAUAAAAUUGAAAAGUAAAAUAGAUUAUUAUGCCUUAGUCACGAUGGAACGUAAAUAGGAAGAUAUGAUCCCAGGUUACACUCUCAAAUUGUUCCAAUCCUAUAUUAAACUCGAUAGUGAUUCGAUAAUAUGGAACUAGAUUCGAGUUUUUUUUAAAUCCAACUUGAGUAAGAUUUAAUUAAGUUUCUCAUUUACCCCCCCCCCCCAAGGUCCAAAUUAGAAAGAAAUUUCAGAAGCUGAAAGGAUCUCAACCAAAAUACAGCUACGGCAGUUUAUAACUGGAAAACAUUCUUAAACAGAUAACAUUCAAAGAAAAAAUGUAGAGCAUGAGAGAGACUUAUAAGAGCUCAGCUCAGGUCCGCUUGACAGGGUCGAAGUUGGACACACCAAUUACAGCUCCAACAAUGGCGACCAGAACCACACCACCAGCCGCUAUGCUGAGCAAGAAGUUCUUGAGAGAUGGGGUGACUCCAUCAGCCGCUUGAGCCACCUCUGGGAUCAUCAUCGAUGUCGUCAGCGCCGCUGCUGUCAACCCUGUCACCGCCUUUUCCUUGAACGAAGAAGAAGCAGCCUUGACUUGGAGCCUUCCGUUGGGUCUUUUAACAGCGCCCAUUGAUCUCCAUGGCUUCACCGGGAGUGGCUUAAAGAAUGCCUCAGAACUUGGCAUCCUGUUUUGAGUAGUUCCAGCUAAGGGCAGAGCCAUUGAAGCAGCUGAACUGGAAGCCAUUGAUUCUUUUUUUCUGCUCUCUUCACCCUACAAGUCUAAACCCCCCCUCUCUUGGCAAAUGUGUGUUUUAGAGAGGAGGGGUGGGAAAUUGAGAUUUUUAUGUGCCACGUGGCAUUCAAGCUCUAUCUAUGUCUUACGUGGCAGCUUCUCAAGUUGGAAUGGGUGGAUAAGGUUAUCUUAUUGGUCCAAUCCCCAUUAAGGUUAAAAUGUUGGGUGACAACUUCUAUGAUUGGCUAAUGGCCCAAACCCUCAUUUCCUUUCGACAUGAUUGCUUCUUAAGCUAUUUGGGCUGAUUUUGGGCCCAUUAGAUGAGCCCAAAACAUUAGAAUCCAAUUAAUGAAAGUACAUGGUAAUUGGUAUGUACCUCUACUAUAGGAACAUGUUUAAAUUAGUUAAAUAUUUUUAAAUUGCAAAUAAAAUAAUUUGUUUGGAGUUUAACUAUAAAUGAAAAAUUAAUAAUUUUCAUAUAACUUUAUAAACAAUAUAUUCAUCUGUAACACAUACUGAGAUCUUAUAUACCCAUCCAAAUGAGUAACAAAAAUAAAUAAAUAACAUUCCUACAUUGACAUUGGAUGUCUUUUACCAUCAUCCAAACACAUAUAGUAGGUGCCCUUUAUCCACCAAGACAUGUUAAUACAACCCCCCCCCCACCACCAUCAUUACUUCUAAGCUACAAUAAAGAGAGAAAGAAAUAAAAAAAACUUAGUUGCCCAAAUAGGAACCAACCAGUGCCCAAAACACAGCAUCCCCCUGCUUAUAUAUCUGAGUAGAAAGGGAUUCAACAAGUAUGGCAGAAGUAGAAAAUGCGAGGAACAAAAAGUUACACACACCCCACAAUUUUAGACAAACAAACAAAAAAAAGCUAGUCGCUGGUGUGGCUAACCUCAUUUGAUUUGGUCAAAUUACAAGUAUUGUUCAUGUAUCCUGGUUCGGUUCUCUUCCCACCACAGUCUAGCAUGCAUUUCCCCAAAUAUUUCUCGGCUGCACAACCCCGAAAGUAUUAGUUUUUAUGAACUGUAGAAUAGACAUGAAAAAUAUUUUGAUUAUACCCAAAAAAGAAACUUUCUCGGCUGCAUGAUUAGAGGUUGUAAAAGUGAGGGAUCAAGCUAAUUAUUAUGAGAUAAAUUUUUAUGGAAAUUAAAGUUGAUUUGUUGCCUUGGCAUGGGAAUGGAAUAGUUGGUCAAAUAAGAAAGCGAUUCACAGUGAUGAUGCUGUCAACAAAAAAAUUAAAAACAAAUGAUGUAUGGCUAAUGAAGCUGUUUAUGAUGGUUGGUAAUUCUAAUGAUAAUUGUUUCUAAGGUGGACCUUAAUUUUAGCAUUGACUUGGAUGUAUCAACCUAAAAAUGAAGUCAAAUCUAGGAGACAAUUGGCUUUUCGGAGCAUUCGUAGUGAGCCUUUAAUGUUUAUGUAUCCUAAAUUUUAUCUUUCUUUAGAUCAGGUGUCCAAUAGUCACAAUGAGUCUCGGCUAAAUUUAGAGUCGAGCUGAGUCGGACCUCGAUGGGAGGAAGUUCUUUCAUUGUUGGUUCUCUGUCCAUAAGAUUUGAACAUUAGACUUUGCAUAAAGAACAUCAAACUCCUUACUAUUCAACCUAACAGAAACCGGUAAUUAAGUACCUGUAUACUAUAUACCUAGAUAUGAUUAUGAAGAUAUACCUUCAAAUGUAUAAUUUUUUUUAAAAAAUAGAAUGUAUCCGAUAUGGGGAAUAUUGAACUCAUCAAAACAAGAAAAGAUUUCUAAUAUAAUUCGACCAAAGCAUAAAGACACUGCCCAUGAUGACGAUGCAUAAAAUAGAACACUAUAAUUAGCAUCAAUAGAUAGCUGAUUUAAGGCCUUAUAAUUUGAUAUGAAACAAUCAUUACAGCAGUGCUAAUGAAAACUAUAGACUGUAUGCUAGGCACUGAAAAGGAAAGGGCAAGUUAAAACCUGGAUUUCAGCUAACAAUGAUUGCUAUUGAACCUAGGGGUGACAAAUUUGAGGCACAUGAACUAAUCUAAAUUUAAUUUUAGAUAGUUGCAGCUUGUAAGAUGCAUUUGCAGCGACUGCAAGGAUUUAUCUACAACAUGAUACUUCUCCCUAUGGUACUUGACAUUUUUAGAUGUAUAUGGUGGGUCAUAUUCCUAUAUCCAUGUCCGGAUGUGCAUUAAACAUGAGUGUUGAAUUACAAAUACGAAGAGUGCGAAACAGUGUACUUCUACCACUUUGAGAUAUUGCAAGUUUCCUAAGAUUAGGUGCAAAGAACACAUUUCUCUAUCAGUAAUAAUGGUCUGGUAUAUAUUAAUUGUUUUUUGGCAAACAAACUGAAGUUAAAGGUUUGUUCAUUAAACCAUACCUGAAUCUAACUCGCCUAAGCUCCCUUUUGCCUCCUGGCAAGGCUCUGAUUGUAAUGUAAACGCCUGGUUCAUCUUGUUCAACCCACUCAGUCUCGAGAUCACUGGCGUUACUGAUAGAUAGCUCCCCGGACUGAUCAGCCUCUCUCGAUGAGCUACUCCUCAUAGAGGCAUCCAUUGAUGAUAUCUCUGUCUUGGCACCACUAAUGCUAGAAACUUUUGGGGUUGAAGUAAGACCAGGGUCACAAUAAUGCCUGGCCUGCAUUGGGUGCUGAUCAAGUGAAUCUGAGGAUGAGUAGCCCAUCCCCAUCCCUGCUGGACGAUAUAAAUUACGAGGUAAGCGUUCUUUGGUCAAUGGUGGUGUUACAGGGCUUUCUUCUGCCGAUUCCAUUUUCGAGCUCUGUAAGGAAUUGAAAAAACACAAUACCCGUCAAUGCUGGAUACAACACAAUUAUAUGACAUGGCUAGGUGUCUUAAACAUGAUUAUGGCAUGGAAAAACAUAAGAACAGGACUGUAAUACAUGAAUUACCAGACGUCUUGAGAUACACGCAACAUACUAACUUCAGUUCAUGACAGUAUUAGCGAAGGGCAUGAAGUACCAUGAAGUAGAUGCAGUUCAUUAUGUUUAAGCUGGUAACAGGCUAAAAACUUGCCUCAUCUUCAGACCUUGGGGGUGUUGGUAGUGGAAAUGCCUGGCGGUGAAGCCUCUGAACAUUGUAAAGUUCCAUGACCCUGUCAUAGUUCUCAGCCCACCAUCUUUGAGCUUGCCAUUUGUUAAACAUUUCCCGACUAGUCAAAGAAAAUAAACUAUAUUUCAGCACACUCCUGAUGUUCUCGAGAUUAGAAUACCAGAAAUCAGAAAUUAGUGGUUCACGUUCUGUGCUAAAAGCGUGAGUGUGAGUGUCAGAUCCGGAUGCAAGUCUGACCUGAGUAGGUUCAAUUUUUUCAAGAAGGUUCACAUAUUUAGACAGUCUUUUGAAGAAUCAUAUACCUUUCAAAUAUAUGUCGAACACGAAUACUUCAUAAAAGAUAAAGAACCAAAAAAACAUAGAUCAAAACUAUAAAAAAUAAUAAUAAUAAUUCAUGUCCUUGGAAAUGAAGUCCUAAUUUGACAAUGAUAAUACUAUGUUUAAUGAUUUGAAAACCUAACAAUGAGCAAUAUAAUAAACAUUGCAAUCAUCAAAUGAUUAAAGGGAAUGUGUUGUAACCCAAAUUAUUAAUAUAUUAAAAUUUAUAUAUGCAAUAUUUUAAAUCAUAUAUAAAAAGGUCCCAAAAAGAUCAUAUAUAAAAAUAUAAAUAAAUAUCUUUUUAAAUUUCCCUAAUUAAUUAAAGAAAAAGAAAAUGACAAAACAUGGGUCGGGAGAAGACAAGGCGACGGAGAAUCAGGCGUAAAUGGGAAUUUUCUUUUUCCUGGUUUUGUUUGAAAUGAAAAGAAAGGGCAGAGGCAGAGACAGAGGCAGAGGCUUAUCCGACACGAAGACAAAGCCUCAGUGAAAAAGCUUUGAACACAAUCAAUCAUGUCCCACAAUGAGUUAUUCUUUUGGACUUUUUCUGUAUUGCUUUUCAUUAGGCGUGAAGCCAACCUACCUACUGUUACACAAGAGGGGCCCUCACCUAAAAUUUUCUUUCAUUUUCUAUACAAAAUGCUGCUUAAGGCUAUGUUUGGCUCAAUGACACAUUACAAGAAAAAUGGCAGAUAAAGGUCAGGGAAAAUAAAAUAAGAGUAAUUAUUUCAUACGUUUAUUUUUUAGAUUUCAUGGAAAAUAUAAUAAAUAUUAUUCAAAUUACUAUAUUAAUUAAUUUAAAAUCUCAGACUAAAUUUACAUGAAAAUUCCUAACUGAAACUUACAAUGAAUUAGUAUCCAGAUUUUACUUUACCCUAAUUUCUAUAAAUAUCAUGACUAAAAAAAUCAUGUAUAAAUUUGUCUUACAAAAAUGAUAAUUAAUUUUAUAAAUUUUUAGUGAUAAAAUUUAAAUUGGCUGCCAAUGAUCAAGCAAAUAAAAAUUUCUCUUUACAAAAGAAAAGUCUUUUUUUCUUUUCCUUUUAAAAAAUCGAUCACUUUAUAAAAGAUUGUGUCAAUUAACUCUAAUAAAAUAAAACAGUAGGCAUCCAAAAUUGACAUCCAAACAACCUCUAAGUCAUACUUCUAUCGCCUCAAUUAAUAAAAUAAAAUGGUUGGAAAAAAUUAAUAAAUAAAACAAGAAAAACAAAAGAAUUUUUCUUUGAAAAAUAAUAAUAAUAAACAUAUAAACCUGAUUGAUGACGUGCCCAUCCAUUCUCUAAAGUGAUUUUCCAAACAGUAUAUGAAAUUUCUAAAAUAACUAUAACCGUACGCCUAAAAAUCCUGCUAUAGAAAAGAAAUAAUGUCAAAUAAAAAGAUUUAAUUACAAAAUUGACCUCUAGUUUUUAUGUUUUUAUUUAAAUAUUAUAAUUUUAUUUAAAUUACUAAUUUCAUCUCUUUCUUUUUUUUUGACAACUUCUAAAUAAACGUGCUACGUAUCACGUUUUCAUUGACUCAUAUUUUAGAAUAAAAUGCGAUGAAAUUAACAUUUUAGGUAAACCAACAUUUGAAUUUAUUUUUUUAUAAGCGAUAUUCAAAUUUAUUAAAUAUUAAAUAUUAAAAUUUAUAAUUUGAAUUUGAGAUUUUAUAUUCAAAAUUAUUAUUUACAAAAGGGAUAAUAUCAAAUUUAACACUUAACGUUUACAUUUUUAGUUAAUUUGAUCCUUUUUUAGUUAAAUUUGACCAUCAAUAUUUUGAAAAAGAGUCGAUAUGAUUUUUUUUAAUGAGAAUACUAACUAAAAUGUUAAAAUUUUAAACACAAUAGCCCGCAUGACAAUCCAUAUAUACUCCACGCUAAUUUUUUUUAAAAAAAUUAUGAACUUUUUAUAUUUCUUAAUUUUAACUUUGAUUUAUUUUGAUUUUUUAUCUCUAUAAUUUUUGAAUUAUUUGUUGACAUGCAGGAGCGAAGCUAGAAUAAUUUUUUAGGGGGUCGAAUGAAAUUUUAAUUUUUUAUAGUCUAUAUCUUUAUAAUUUUUAAAGGAUUAAAUCAAAUUUUUAUAAUUUUAAAGUGCUAAAGUAUAAUUUUACCUUUACUAAUUUAAAAUUUAAAAAAAAUUAGAAAACCUAAAUGAUAAUUUUUCAUUUUAGGAGGGCAGAGCUCAUGCUAGCCCCUAGAAUUGCCUCUGUUGACAUAAUAAUGUUAUGUUAACAUAAUGUGUAUAUAUAAACUGUCAUACGAGUUGUCACGUCAAUAGCACACUAAAAAUUAAUAUUUUAGUAAUUAUUUUUGCUAAAAAACAAUCUCACUUUUUUUAUAAGUUAAAAUUAAUAUUUAACUUUAAAAAAUUAAAGAUUAAAACAUUCAGCUAAAUUUGUCAUUAUAAAAAUAAAACAAAUUUAGAUUAAUGAAUAUAACAAAUUUGAAUAAUAAAUAUCUAAAAUUAAUAUUCACGUACUUUCCAAAUUUAUAAUAAUUAAAUUUUUUAAAUUCAAAUAUUUUUGCUAGUCUCCGAAAAUGGAAGUCGAAUUCUGCAAAAACAGAAAGAAAAGAUAAAGUAGGGCGCGCACCUGAACCGUAUCCGCUUGAGAUCGUUGCCGCCGUGAGGGAGCGAAACGAAGGUAAUAAGCACGCCGGGCUCCACCUGAGCCUCCCAUUCUUUAGGCUCACUUUCUUCGACGAACACGACCGAUUGGAUUCGGCGUCCACUCGCCGAUUUCGGCGUCGCUUCUUCGCUCGAACUCGAUAUAGAUAUCCCUUUCAACCUUGCUUCCAUCUCCUUUCCCCACGCCCUCGGCGUCGUCGAGCUCGAACUCCCCGUCCUGCGAUACGACCACUUGGACCUGUCCGACUCAGCGUCUGAUUCGCCGGAGUUUCUCAACCGGCUCUGCGCCGUGCAAGGGUUGCAAUGCCUAUACACCCCCGACGCCUUUAGCGCCAUGUCCUUCAACUAAAUCACACACACACACACACAAAAAGAAAAACUAUCGUUAAAAGGAAAACACAGAUCAAGGAAUUCAAAAUCAUUGACUUCGUAAACUUCACAGAGUUAAAUUACCUGAGAAGUGAGGGACUUGAUGGCCUGGUUCUGCUUAGCGCUAGAAGUAGCGGAAGAGUCAGUUUCCUCCAGUUGACUCGGUGAGUCAUCACCGGGUUGUUUAGAACGAGCUAUACACGUCAGCAUUAUUCUUCUGGAAUUCAGUUUUCUUUCGCAGUUUCAACGAAUCGUUCAAGAAUUCUUCAAUCCUACCAUUAAAAUCAAAAUGAUCAGAGAUUCUUUUCAACAAACAAAAUAAAAACAUAAUUUAUAAAAAAAAAUAUCACCUCUCUGUUCUCUCUUCGGAGGAGAUUAGAGACAGUAAGAAGCUGCAUUUGCUUCUUUUUUUUUCUUUUUGCUUGAGAGCGAAUCGCUGUAAUGAGAGAGUUCUGAUUGCUGUUUGGGGAAUGGUGAUGUGUGAAAAGCUUUUUAAACCUUUUUGCUUUAUUUUUGUUAUUAACCUGCAACCGGAUGGAUUUACCGGCAUUUUUUUGCACGGAUAUGGAAUUAGCGGGUUUACUUAUUGCAGUGCUGUAAGAUGUUACAUACCGUAGUGCUGCUGAUUAUUUCAUUUUUAUUACAUAAUACACUGCGAAUCCCAUGAGCAUUACGUAAUAUCACAAAAUAAUACCACCUUUGUUAUUUAUUAGGUUUACUUUCAUGCCUCAGGUUUCAAAACUCGUUUAAAAUUUAAGAGAAUUUAAAUAAAAAUAUUAAGCUCAAAAAUUAGGUCUGAACAAAAAAAUUAAAUCUAGUUAAAAUAUGAGUCACGCUCGAGUUUAAACAUUUAAUGCCCAAGCCUGAUCCGACCCAUUUUUAAGUUUAUAAUACUUUAUAUUAUGUUAUCUUUAUAUAUUAUGUAAUUUAGAACACAUUAAAAAAUAAAUAUAUACUAAAUAUAUAAUACUAUUCUAAUGUAAAAAUUAAAAUAAUGUUAAGAUGGGCCAAACUACCAAAAAAAGCCUCUCUUUUUUAAUAAUUACAGAAAUAGGCCGGUUUUUUAAUUAUUUACCGGAAUGGGCCAUUUUUCGCGAAAUCGCGGCCACGUCAGAGCGAUAUCGGGGAACUUGACAGGAGAUCGCGUCCACGUCAGAGCGACCUGCCGACGUGGAAGGAAAUAACGUCCUUGAGGAAGCGAUUUCCUUCCACGUUGGCAGGUCGCGCUGACGUGGACGCGAUUUUCCGACGUGGCGCGGUACCGGGGAUGCGAUUUUGACGCUGAUUUUACGUUUGUGUUUUCUGGCUUUUAGGGUUUAGGGUGUAGGCUUUUUAGGGGUUAGGGGUCCCGGAAAAAAAAUUUUCGAGUUGACGUAUCCGGUCAAAUAGUGGGAAAUCGCUUCUACUAGGAUGCUAUUUGAGAAGAAAUUGUGAAAUCGUGGCCUCGUGGACGCGAUUUCGCUACAGUGGUCAUGUAAGAAAUAAUUUUUUUUUGAUGUUUUCUGAGCAAAUAGUAUAAAAUCGCUGAUACAAGGAUGCUAUAUUGGGCAGAAAUUGUUAAAUCGCGCCCUCGUGGACGCGACUUCGCUACAGUUAGUCAUGUUGGAAAUAAUUUUUUUUUACAUUUCUGAGCAAAUAGUGUCAAAUCGCGCCCUCGUGGACGCAAUUUUGCUACAGUACUAAGUUUGGGCUGAGGCUAUAAAUUAGGCAGAAAAUGUUCCACAGAAUGCAUAACUCACAGCAGAAAUAUUUUAGAGAGGCUAAGAAACUUAGAGUUUCAAAAUGAGUGAACGUAUUAGUGCUGUUAUUUACUACGAUGGUGAGGUUUGCCAGACGGAGAAUGGUGUUGUUUUUUUGUCGGAGAAUACGGUGCGACUGUCAUUUAGCCAAAACAUAGAUUUGACAGAACUCCGUAAAAGAAUUAGGCGUAAAAUCUUCGGAACGACGCCAAUGAAAGUUCUGUCAAUGACGUAUCGAUUUUGUUCUUCUGUUGAUCCGGUGACAUAUGACUCGUUUGACGUAAAAGGUGCUCGUAGCUUGGAGGCAAUGGUGCAAACUCAUCUUGCUAGCGGAGCAACUUAUAUUGAGUUAUAUGUACAAUUUACGUCGCCUACUGAUGUACUUCCGUCCGAUGUUCGAGAUGUAUACACGACCCCUGGCCGACACUCGGUUAGCGUAUUACAAAAUACGGAACAGCCCAUGUUCGAUAGCGGUGUUGAAUGCACUUCCCCCUACAGGCACUCUGUCGGUGGAUGGGACAUGUACGUCAGUGGCUCGACGUUUGACGCAGGAAAUACGAGCUAGGGUUUGCAUCAAGUUCUACUAUAUGGCAAUCUACAUCCAAUUGGGGACGUUAUCAAAUGCCCAGAAGAAGGGAUGACGUACUACCUACGACAUCAACCGGUGAGGGGACGUCCUACGCUGCAGAUGAUUGUGGGUCAGAAGGUGACUCCGAUGUUGAUCCACCUAGAGAGCCCGGGCCGGAUGGUGCAGAGGUGGGAUUAUUUUCUGAACCAGAGCCUAUUCCAACGGAAGGUGAAGAUGGUGAUAGGAGUGCAGAUGAUGAAGAAAAUCCACGAUUCAGAGCAUACUUACCUCCAGCCCACAUGCAUAAUGUCGAUCUGUCAAAUGAUGAUGCGUUAGAGUUUCCGGAUCUACCACACCGGGUGCGCGAUCGUACAAGUUCGGGGGUAGAUCUCGGUGAACUUGAAGUUGGUAAUCAGUUUACCAAUAAGGAUAGUUUUAUUGGUGCUUUGAAACAGCAUAGCAUCAAAAACGGCGUUAAUUACCAGGUCGUUAAAUCAAAAUCUGAAAAGUUUGAGGCGAAGUGUGCGGUGCAAGACGGCACUUGUUCAUGGAAAGUCGUCGCCUCGUUAAGGAAGAGGACGGGGUUGUGGGAGAUAAAAAAGUACAGAGGUCCACAUACAUGUGCUGCAGGUACAGUUGAGCAUGUCUCUGAAUAAUUUUUUUAUUUUCCAAUGUUGCAUUAUUUAAUGUACUCCCUCCCUCUGUAGGUGUUUCAGAAGAUCAUCCAAAAAUGGAUUCAGCUAUGUUGGCUAGCUUGAUACUGCCCACGAUAAAAGCAGAUCCUCGGACUUCAGUGCCGGUGAUAAUUGCCAAUAUCCGUAGCCAAAUGGGGUACACGCCCUCUUACCGCAAGGCUUGGAUAGCUAAGCAAAAGGCAUUAGAGAAGAUGCAUAGUGGGUGGGACGCCUCAUAUAAUGAAAUAUGGCAAUGGUGUUAGGUGCUAGAGAGAUACGUCCUAGGUGCCAUCACAGACCUUCAAACGGAACAUGCGUACUACAACGGCCGAUUGCUACGUGGAUGCCAAGUGUUCAAAUGCCUAUUUUGGACCUUUAAGCAAUGCCGAGACGCAUUUUCGUACUGCAAGCCGUUGGUACAAAUUGACGGUACCUUCAUGUUCGGUAGGUACACUCAUCGGCUAUUGGUUGCAGUUGCACAGGACGACGGUGGGAGAAUUCUUCCAAUUGCAUAUGCAAUAACACCGGGGGAGUCGUCUGAUGACUGGGAUUUCUUUCUCUCUAGGUUAAGGAUGCAUGUGUGCCCACAACCUGAUAUCUGUGUUAUUUCAGAUCGGGGCGCCGGGAUACUGGCUGUAUUUGAUCGGGAGGGAAGCUUGUGGCAGCGUACACACCAUAGAUAUUGCCUGAGACACGUUGCUUCGAACUACUACAGGCAAUAUCCGUCUAAGACGGAACGACGACAAGUGACCAAUAUGGGUAUUUACUGUAUAAUUGUAUUAUUUCGUUUGUCAAAUUGAAUUAGUUUUAUUGGUAGAAGCGGUAUAAAAUAUUCGCUAUGUUCUUAUAUUGGUAGGGUAUGAAAUGAAUAAAGAUCGUUUUUAUGAGAUGUUGGCAAUCUUGCGAUCCCAAAACGAAGAAGGGGCAGACUACCUUUGCAACAUACGUUUCGAACAGUGGGCACAAGCAUACGACGGAGGCCUACGAUAUGGCCAUAUGACGUCGAACCUGGUGGAAUGCAUAAAUUCUGUUCUUAAAGGAACACGCCAUCUACCGAUAACAGCGGUUGUGCGAGUGACAUAUUUCCGUUUGGCGGCGCUAUUUCCAAAGCAAGCAGCAACUUAUGCAGGCCAGAUGCAGGGUGGGCAUUUAUGGUGCAGUAAGGUAGUUCAAGAAAUUAACAAGGCGAAGGCGAUGGCAAACAUCAUGCACGUUGUGUAUCACGAUCGAGACAAUUUAUGGUUUCGCGUGACGGAGUUCGACAUACCGCACCAAGGUGUUGUUGGCGGGCAAUAUCGUGUACACUUGCGAAACAGGACGUGUGACUGUGGGAAGUUCGAUGCACUUUGUUAUCCAUGCGCUCAUGUUAUUGCAACCUGUCAGAAACUCUGCCUGGAUCCGCUUAGUUAUGUGGACAAAGUGUACAAAUUAGAAAACAUGUACAACGUAUGGAGACACGUUUUCCCACCGGUCCCAGAUGAACGUAAGUGGCCGCCCGUAUCUCUUGCUCCUUUGAAGCUGUUACCGGAUAGAGAAUUGUGUCGCAAGCCGAAGGGUCGACCUUGCUCCACUAGAAUACGAGACAAUAUGGAUAUCCGAGAAACAACCAGUCAACAGAAAUUGUGCGGAUGGUGUAGGAACCCAGGCCAUACAAGUCGAUCAUGCCCUAAUCGCAAUAGUUGAAUGUAAUUAUAGAAAAAGCUACAUUUUAUUCAAUUAUUAAUUGAUAAUUGUAUUAAUUGUUAGUAAAAUUAUCAAAUUACUACAAUUUCUUAAAUGUUAGUACCAGUCAAAACAGUUUACGAAAUAACAUUAUGUAAAAUUACAAUUUCUUGAAUGGUUAGUAAGAUUAUCAAAUCUGCUGUUGUAUGUUAGGGUUAGGGUUUAGGGUUUAGGGUUUAGGGUUAAGAGUUUAUAAUUAAAUUAAGUUAGGGUUAAGGUUUAUAAUUAAAUUAGGUUAGGGUUUAGUGUUUUUAAUUAAAUUAAGUUAGGGUUAGUGUUUAUAAUUAAAUUAGGUUAGGGUUUAGAGUUUUUAAUUAAAUUAAGUUAGGGUUAGGGUUUAUAAUUAAAUUAGGUUAGGGUUUAGGGUUUUUAAUUAAAUUAAGUUAGGGUUUAGGGUUUAUAAUUAAAUUAGGUUAGGGUUUAGGGUUUAUAAUUAAAUUAAGUUAGGGUUAGGGUUUGUAAUUAAAUUAGGUCAGGGUUUAGGGUUUGUAAUUAAGUUAAGUUAGGGUUUAGGGUUUAUAAUUAAAUUAAGUUAGGGUUUAGGGUUUUUAAUUAAAUUAAGUUAGGGUUUAGGGUUUAUAAUUAAAUUAGGUUAGGGUUAGGGUUUUUAAUUAAAUUAAGUUAGGGUUAGGGUUUAUAAUUAAAUUAGGUUAGAGUUAGGGUUUAUAAUUAAAUUUAGGGUUUAGGGUUUAUAAUUAAAUUAAGUUAGGGUUAUGGUUUAUAAUUAAAUUAGGUUAGGGUUAGGGUUUUUAAUUAAAUUAAGUUAGGUUAGGGGUUUUAAUUCAAUUAGGUUAGGUUUUAGGGUUUAUAAUUACAUUAAGUUAAGUUAGGGUUUUUAAUUCAAUUAGGUUAGGUUAGGGUUUUCAAUUCAAUUAAGUUAGGGUUUUUAAUUAAAUUAAGUUAGGUUAGGGGUUUUAAUUCAAUUAGGUUAGGUUAGGGUUUUUUAAUUCAAUUAAGUUAGGGUUUUUAAUUAAAUUUAGGGGUUUUAAUCAAAUAAUGUCAAAAAAACUCGGAAAAAUUUCUAUGUGUAUUACAUCGUCAUUAAAUUCUAUAUUGUCUACAUGGGUAUUGAUACAUGUUAAUACGGUAGUCAAUGUCUAUGACCGGGGGAUUCGGUUCCACAUGGCGGCCGUCGAUGGUUACGCGCUGGAUUCCUCCUUCCUCUAUCUUCCGGCGGCGGUUGUUCUUCCUCGGGUGGUGAUUGUUGUUCUUCCGGUUCGGCAUCCGCUUGUUGGACUUGGGACGAUGAUCCACCUUCAAAGAAUAGUGUAUGUGGAGGUGUUUGCAUCAUGAACAGCGACAGAGUUUGAAAGCCAUGCGUUGUUGGCGAUUGGUAAAAAGAAGAGCUCCCCGACGGCCCUCCUUGCGACCCUUCCUGCGGCGAUGGCCUAGUUAUCGAUGGUCCGCUCGGCAUUACCGGAAAUGGAGCUGAUCCGGGCAUUUGGCUCCAACCUGCCAUAGGAUUGGGAAAAGGAUACAUGUACGGGUUAGGGUACAUAUAAGGGCUAGGAAACAUACUUGGCAUCAUAGGGAAAGACGAUUGCAUGGGUAUCAUCUGUUGAAUUGCUGCAUCAGGUGACUGCAUCGGUGCUCUCAUUGGGGACGGUGCUUCCAUGGACGCUGAUGAUGAGCCGGCUGAAUGUCUGGGCCUCGUUGAUGGGCUGCCCUCGUACUCUUGUCCCCUUGGAUUUAGAGGCCCGCGCCUUUCCCUUUCGACUCGUAUUUAUCGCCGCCUCUCCUCUGGCGUAAGUAAAUACGGCUUCCCAUGGAUCCUAAACCAUGGCAUGUAUUCUGGAACGCACGCUAACUCAAGAACGAUGAUUUGUUCCCGAGUAGGUAGAUACUCAUGCCGAUUUUCCCACAUUUCUGUGUACUCUGACCAGUAUCUAGGCCAAUCCGUACCUAAUAGCCGAAGGUCGAUUUUGUGGUGCUCGUCAAACACCUCAGGGUCCGCAGGGAUCGGUUGUCUACAUCCAAACUGUCGUAGGACUCUGUCUGUCUGGUGGGGCUCCACAGUUGCGUAGUUGAUCAACACCACUUUCACGUGCCAAGAGUUAGGGUUUUGUAAAAACUCUUCCGGGAUUACUGCCCGGAUUGCUGGAUCCUCGUAUGGUGUCCAUUGAAACUACAUGAACAUGAUAGAAAUAUUACUUAUAUACAUAAUACUAAAUAUCAAUCCACUAGCGAAUCUAUGGAAAUAUCUAUUUGCAAUAAUACUUACUUCUGCUUCCGACCGUUGGUCCAAUAAAAGCCGUAUAUCUUCAAGUUCAGACGGUAAUCCACGAUAACUCGCCGGAUGGUUCCACCUAAUUAAAUAAAUUUUUAGCAUACUUUUAUUCUUACAAAAUCUACAUAACAAUUUCAAAAUGUAAUAUAAAAUUUACCUCGUUACGAGUGGGAAUGUAUAUGGGUGGUUCACUCGAGGACGUAGAAAUGGAAAGCGAAACCGUGCCCAUGAUUGCAGUAGUGACAGGCAUUCUCUGAUUUUUGCUCUCCUCGGUUUGGUCGCCCCGCACAUCUCCCGAUAUAAUGUUGCCAAGACGGCAGACCCCCAACUAAAUUCGUCGGCUCCUCUAAAAUCAACGAGUUUUAGCAGCCACCUUAGAUGCACACGGCUCCGUGACGUGUCCGCCAUGAGAUAGCCUCUAAUUAUUUGAAGAAUGUAUGCUCGAGCAUAUCGGAUUCUUUCAAUUUCGGUUGAAUUUUCAUUCAGAUCGGGGAAGGUCGCACGUAACCAGCCCAUCUCCACCUUACCUCCAUCCAUUUUAUCCGGAACGACGCCCAAAAGCUCGUAGCACACCGCCUCCCAAUUGCUAGAUUGGGCAGACCCGGUCACUGGGUACCCGUCCACCGGCAAUCCCAAAUGCAGAUGGACAUCUUCUAGAGUGAUAGUGCACUCUCCAUAUGGAAGAUGAAAUGUGUGCGUCUCGGGUCUCCACCUCUCGAUCAACGCACUGAUCAGUUUCGGCUCCAACUUGCAUCCCUGGCCUACCGUCGCGACGUGCCAAAAUCCCGCUUCCCGGAGGUAGUUCUCUACUAACGGUGAUGGAGGAGCAUGCAUAUUCCGAAUAUUGCAUUCCAAUACGCGAUCUUUAUCCUUUUAUAACAAAAAAUAAAUUAAUAAAUAUCUAAAAAUACAUAAAUAAAAAUAGCUUAAAUAAAAUUUAAAAUUUAAAUUUAAUACUUACCAUGUUCAUUUGCUCCACCGAUAUGUGAUUCUUAUCAAGACGAAUCAAUGAUCCGGCCAUUGUUGAAAAUUUUAAAAAUUUUAAAAUUAUUUAAAAAAAUAAAAAAAUUGUAUAAUUUUCUUAAAAAAUGAAAUUUAAUGGAAAAAUAAAUUUAAUAUGGAUUUGGAGAUUUUUUGAAGGAAAUUGAGAGGAUUUUGGAAGGAAUUUGAGAGUUUGAGAUAAUUUUGGAAGGAAUUUGAGAGAACUUUUGAAGGGAAUUGAGAGAAUUUUUGAAGAAAUUGAGAGAAUUUGUUUGUGAAAAUAAAAGGGGUGGGGGUUUAUAUAGUUUAAAAAAAAUUUACCGUUGGGGGGGCCAACAGUCAAUUUUUUGACCGUUGAGCACUGUUCACGCGCGUUUCAAAUCGCGUCCACGUAAGCGCGAUCUGCUGACGUGGAAGGAAAUCGCUUCCUCAAGGACGCGAUUUCCUUCCACGUCAGCAGGUCGCGCUGACGUGGACGCGAUCUCCUGUCAAGUUCCCCGACAUCGCUCUGAUGUGGCCGCGAUUUCGCGGAAAAUGGUCCAUUCCGGUAAAUAAUUAAAAAACCGGCCCAUUUUCGUAAUUAGAAAAAAAAGGGGCUUUUAUUAGUAAUUUGGCCGUUAAGAUGACUAUAUAAAAAAUUCAAUAAAUAAAAGGUAUAAAAGUAUUUAAUAUUAAAAUAAAAUAAUACAAAUGUCUUUUUUAAAAAUUAAAAUAUAAUAUGGGCAAAUCUAAAAUGGGUUUAGGUUAAUUUUUUAUAAAUAUGAACGAGUUUGGAUAAAUUUUUAGGCCCGUAUUUUAAGUCGAGUUAAAUUUGGACAAACAUAAAAUAUAUUAAUAUCAUACUUAAACCUGGUCAUGAUGAAGAUGUCAUGAAUAAUUUAUAUGAAUAAAACAUGAAUUUUAUGGCUCUCUCUAUAAAUCAAUCUCUCUAUAAUCGCUUCUUCUCUCUCUUUUCAUGUAUUUUCAUUAGUAACUAAAGUUUGCAUUUUGGGCUGAUUUACCAAUAAAACCUUAAUUUUUUUAUAAAUUUACAUAAAUGGGCCCGGUAUUUUAUUAUUUACCGGAAUGAGCUAUUUUCCGGCAAAUCGCGUCCAUGUCAGUGCGAUGUUAGGGGACGUGUUAGGAAAUUGCGGCCACGUCAGAGCGCUUUGCUGAUGUGGCAACAAAUCGCCCUCUCGUGGACGCGAUUUGUUGCCACGUCAGCAAAGCGCGCUGACGUGGCUGCGAUUUCCUGACUUGUAGGUUUUUGGAUUUUAGGGUUUAAGGUUUUAGGGAUUUUAAGAUUUUUAAGGUUUUGGAGAAAAAAGUAAACAGAUAAGUCGCGCCCACGUGUACGCACUUCUUUAUGGAAACAUCUGCCCUUAAAUCUACAAAUGUUGAGUAUGCAUUCACUGAAGUACUAACUCAAAUACAUCAUGUGAUCAGUCGAAAAGCACUCGAAGGAGGGAAUGAUCAAACAACAUUGCCCAACGGACAAACCAUCAAUGCCGACUCUCGGGAUGAUGUUUCAGCUGUGAAGAAAGAUGGCUGCUGUUCUGCAUAAUUGUUAGAUGAUUCCGAGUGUCCAAUUUUGCUUCCUCAUUAAGCACAAGCUUUCCUCACCGUGAUCUUUGUCGAGAUCUUUCGUUGAAGACGAAGAAAUCACAGCAUUCCAAGGAUUUUCUUAUAGUUUGUUCAGACAGAUCUAAUUUUAGUAUUUUAAAUGAUUUUCAUUAGUUGUGGAGAAUAAAUUUUAAAUUAGCUAUCAUAAUGUUUUGUAUUUUCAAAGGAGUAUUUUAUGUAAUAUAACAAAUAAAUAGGGAUAAUUUAGGUAUUAUAAAUAAUUUAAAUAAUUUAGUGCAACUAUAUACAUGAAAUUUCAUUAGUUGCACUGUUCACGCGUUGGGCAAGUCGCGGCCACGUCAGCAAAGCGCGCUGACGUGGACACGAUUUCCUGGCACGUCCCCUGACAUCGCGCUGACGUGGACGUGAUUUGCCGGAAAAUACCCAUUUCGGUAAAUAAUAAACUACCGGGCCCAUUUCGGUAAUUUUAAAAAAAAUAGGUUUUUUUAGUAAAUUGCCCUGCAUUUUGGUCUGGCAAAAAAAAAUCUGCAUUUUGGUUCUAAAAAGUUUAUUGUUUCAAUUUUCUUUUUCUUUUAUGCAUUUUCUCUUUUUAGCUUAGUUCAGCUUUCAUUUUAUUUUUUAUUGAAAUAAUUUAAUCAAUUCCUUCCAUGAAUUCGAUCAUAUAAUCUGAAAAUAAAUAAAUUAAAGCCCAUCAUUAGUGAUAAAGGGCAAGACCAACCGAUACUACAAAGACUUCAACCUCAUCAAUAAUAAAAUAUUACAUCUUAUUGAUAAUCGAUUUUGUUACGACUAAAGCAUUACUUAUAUGGGGUGAUGGCAAAUAGCUUAUCAUGAUAAGGGAACUAGUCCCAAAAGGUCAAAAGCAAUAGAAAUAAUCAACAAAAGAAUCAAGCAUCGAUCAAACUGGAGAGGAGGGCAGUAAAUACAUUCCUAAAAACACUUGCAAAAACAUGACUACAAGACAAAAAAAAACUUUAACCAUUUUCCUAAAAAAAAAGGAAGACUUAUUAAACAAUGUGAAACAAAUAAAAAAAACACAUAAAACUUAAAUAACAGAGGUCCAAACGACUCAUGAAAUUAUUUAUUAUUUCGAAAAACUCUAAAAAAAACAUAUCAAGAAGCCAAUGAUAAGUCAUCAUUCAAGUAUCUAUAAUCAAUCUACUUUUCAAGAUAAAUUGUUGGUGGCUGAUGAAGGUUUAAUGAUCUAGACGCCAACAUCUAUUCAUAACAGCCUAUAAAAAUAAUAAAGAUGCCUAUAAAAUAGAUAUACAAACUAAAAAGAGAAAAAAAUGCAUUGAGGGAAUAACAAGAAAAAGAAAGAAGAAAAAGUUGGUGGGAAUGAAAAAAAAGCGGGUUAACACUUCAUUUAUAUGAAACUUACCAAACUUAUCAAACUUACACUUCAUUCAUGUAAUUUUUUAAAUUCGAUUAUAAUAUCUACACUAUACUUAAAACCUUCAAUAAAAUUAAUAUCAUAAAUCAAUAGUUGAAAAAAACUAAAAAUAUAUAUUUGUAUUAAGUAUUUAUAACAGUAAGAGGGUAUUUUUAUUUUUAUUUAUAUUUUUAUAAAUUAAUAAAAAAAUUAUAGAUGGCAAAAUUAUAUUUUAAAUUAUAUAUUUGUUGCAUAAAUAUUAAAUUGUCAAUUUUACUAUUUCAAUCCCUAUUUCAUUUAAUGUUUAAUAAAUAUAUUUUACAUAUAAAAUUUUCACUCGUAAUCUAAUAAAAACUAGAUUAUGGCACAUCUAUUGUUGUGUGAAUAAAAAUAAAGAUUUUCAAAAUCCGGUAGUUAAACCAGUCAAGUCAUCAAUUCGUCAAUCUAAUUGGUUCAACCGGUCUGUUCAAUUCAAUUAAAAAAUAUUAAAAAUUUAGUUCACCCAAUCUAUAUUGCUUCCCAAGUCAAUUGUUUCAAUGCCCUUUUCUGGAAUAGUACCUCUGCUCAAGUGGUCGGUCCAGUUCAAUUAAAAAAAUAUUAAAAAUUUAGUUCACCCAAUCUAUAUUGUUUUCCAAGUCAAUUGUUUCAAUGUCCUUUUCUGGAACGGUACAUUGGAUCGAGCGGUCAGUCCAGUUCAAACAACCUUGAUGAAAAUAAUUAUAUAAUUUAAAUUUAACAUAAAAACUAAACAUGAUUUUGGUUGAAACGGUAACGUUGAGAAAAUGAAUAUUAAGGUGUUUUGAAUUCAAAUCUCAACAUAUGCAUAUAAUUUUUUUUUAUUUAUGAAAAUAUGAAAAGAAAUAAACUACUGCCGAAAUAAUAUUUAUUGCUUUAUAAAAUAAAUGGGUUUUGGGUAAAUUUACAACAGAAUUAAAAUACUAAGUGAUAUAAACUUAAUUAAAAGUAUUAUACAUAAUAUAGAUAUAAAUAGAUAUAGACAAAUUAUUAUAUUAAUAUAUCUUCUUUCCUUUUUGGGGCUUUGGGUUAUUUGAGAUGGCCUAUUGGAGCAAAUUGAUGGGUCGCUUGGAGGCUCAAUAUAGCAGAAAAAUGGGCUUAAAUAAAUCUCUUUUCUUGGGUUAUAAUGAAUUUCAUGCUUAUUGAAUGUUAUCUCUUUUUAUUGUUGAUAAGGUUUGAAUUUUUUAUUUAUUCUUGUUAUACUUUGAUAAUAGUCUGGCCACCUAUUAGUUUGACAAAACAUAAAGAAAUCAGAAGAUGAUUUUUCGCUUUAGGUCUAAAAUAAGUAACUCUUGAUCUUAAUAAGAUAAGUCAAUCUAUGAUUCGUAAUUAAGAUAGGAAUAUACUUGAUUAACUUGGGAAGCCAUAAAUAUUAGGGCAGUUAUUAAUCAACUUAGUUUACAUUAUUGGCAUAGGAAUUAAGGGGAUUUUAGUUCCUCAGAUUAAUAAUCAACUCUAUUAAGAUAAACUGAGUGGAAACGGAUCGAUUGGCUAAUGCAUUAGAUGAAAUUGUAAUCCUAGGGUUUUACUAUUGACUUUUUAUUUAAUUUAAUUUGCAUUUCUUAUUUUUAUUUACUUUUAAAUUAGUUAAAAAAUUAUUAUCGGUUAACUUAGAUAGAUUUUAAAAUAAUAUUUGGUGAUUAAUGUUUCGAUUAGUAAUAGUUAUCUGUGAAAUCGAUAUUUUAUAUCACUUGAAAUAAUAUGUAUACUUGCAUAUACGAUUUUCGAUCACCACCAACCUAAUACUUGAAUGAAUAACGCAUCAUUUAGGCUGGCUUUAUGAAGUGAGCUUGAACUUCAACAUCUCCUAUUUGAUGUUCAAUAUUUUCCACAGCGGAAGGGCCUUUAGAAAAUAAAUCCAUUAUUAUGGAUUACAAAAAAGGGAAAUAUAUAUGAUCAACUUUUACGCUCGCAUCCGGAGCGUGAAAACACGAACCAAUUUAAAACAACAUAUCCUUUUUUAGCACGUGGGCUUGAAAUAUACACAGUAAAGGGCGGCGGGAAGCUGUAAUAAAAUAAAAACAAAGGAGUGAGAAGUGUGGUCCACACAAAGAGAUAAGACACGUACAAUUUAUGAACAAAAAGUAAAAAUGUAACUUUAUAUUUUGAUGAUUUAAUUUUAAAAGAUUAAGAUUUGGUCACUGCUUGUUAACUUGGUAAUGGGCUUAAGAUGUGAGGCCAAGUAAAUUUACAAUUGAUGACUCGAUUUCAAAGAUUAUAAAUUGGUCACCGAAUUUUAAUAAGUUUACGCUUUGGUCAUUUAAUCUUUGCACUAUCAUUUCGUAACUCAAUGAUUCAAAUAGUAUCAAUAACAACUUAAAUCCUAAAUCUUAGCAAAGUUACAGUCAACCUCGUGCCUCUCCUCUAACUCGACCAACUCAACAAUCUUUUAUUUUUAACUCAUCCAUUGUUCCCAGUUGGCCAAAAUCAUAACUCAAGAAAACCCACAAUCAAACUAUUCAAUACCUUUGCUCGAAACCAACCACUAAAUAUCAACACAACCACAAUCAAAGCAAACAAAAGUACAUAUAGAGAGAGAGAGAAAAAAACAAAAGUCUCCUUUUCAACAAGCCCCAAGCAGGACAUGCAAAAGUAAAGAAGCAAAAUAGAAUCAGAGAAAAGAGAAUAAAAAUAUAAAAAGGAGACCCAAAUGUAUCAAAUUCAGUUAAAAGUUAGUCGGACAAUUACAUGUGAUGGAGGCUGAAUUCUAAAGGUCAAGGAGAAAGUCUUGCUACGAAGAGGAACAUAUCGGAGUUAGGCAGCCAUAUGAUGACGCGAAGAGCUUAUUUGUUAUGACUUCGAGUUUAAAUUAGCUAAAUUUCAAGGAAAGUUAAACCAUAUGGUUGAAAGAGAAAAGGAAAAACAUUGUUCAAUGUGUCUCUUUGAGUAGGAGGCUGGAUGAUGGUAAGAUUAUUGGAAUUGAAUUGCGAAUGAGAUCCUUAAAACCCUAAAACUAUCGAAUAGUUUAAUAACCAACUUUUAACAUUAAAAAAACCGAUUGGUUAAAGCGCAAACUUACAAAUAAUAGAGUGACAUUGUAUGUAAUUUAUUCUAUAAUGAAUAGUGAGUUAACGGCCACAUCUCACACUUUUUACCAAGUUAACAGGUUAGUAACCAACUUGUAAAUUUUUAUAUAGUUUAAUGAUUAACUUGUAACAUUUUUAUAUCGAAUAAUCAAAAUGUAAAUUUACUAAUAAUUGAGUUACCUUGGAUGAGGAAAAAAUGAGUUCAGAGAAAAAUAUUUUUUUUAAUAAGUUAAAAUUUGUUGUUUAUUUUAUGUUUAUCAUAUAAAAUAUCUUAUAAUAAUUUAAAAUUUUAUAUAAAAAAUAUUUUUUAAAAAAAUACGUUAUUGGUUGUUUUUAUCAUUUGAAUUAUUUUAAAAAUAUUUCUAAAAGUUUUUAUUAAUUAAAAUAAGUCCAAAACUAAAUUAUAAUAAACAUUGAAAAGAAAAUUUUAAAAAAUUGACCGACCUAUGUAAUUCUCACUCUUAAUUAAAGAGAGAGGAAAACAUUUGGAUUGGAGAGUUGCAAGAGAGGGGACAUGCCUAAGUUUUUCCCAGCAAAAGAACAAGUCUUUACUUCUUCUUCAUGCUUUCAUCAGAUCCCAUAGGUUUAUAAUUCUCUUCUUUCUUCCACUAUCUAUUUUUUUUCGUUGUUUAGUUUGAUUCAAACUUAUCCAAUCUUUUUAUAACCCGUAUUACUACUUUUUUAUUCAUUUGUUUGCUUUACCUCAAUCCAUCUUCUUUUUCUUUUGAUUCUUUUCCUUUUUUACUUUCUUUCUUUUUCUAAAUCCCCUUUAAUUAUUUGUCUAUUAAUUGGGCUUCGUUUUGUUUUCCUUGAAAUGCAUGUCGGUGAUGCUGAUGUUGAUGAUUGAUUAUCAUGUACUUGUUGUUCUUGGUACAGUGAUUCGCCACUGUUGUUUAUGUUGUUCCUGUUUUGGCUUAUUUUUGGGGUGGAUUAUGUUUUUACUAUAUAUUAUAUACUGUGGUGGGCGGAUUUCAUGUCCUUUAACCAGCCCGUACAGUUGUUGACUUGUCCGUACAGAUUUAGUUUUUAUAUAUCUCCCAGCCAUUUUAUCUUCCUCUUUUAGACUGUGAUAAUUAUUGGUCAGCUCCCCCCCCCCCCGCCGCCUCUUCUUAUUUUCAUCUGUAAUUCAUGGAAAACUAUCAUCAACACUUUAUGGGUUCUUUGGUGGAUUUGCAGUAUAAGCAUUAAGUUUUUAGACUGCAAAACUUUUGAUCUGCAUUUGCUGUUUAGACAUAUUUGAAUUGCCAUUAGAUCUACAAUAUGUAUAAGUCCAUUCAUUUUCACCUCCAAAUUUUGUAAGGAACAUCAACCAUCUGUUGCAUUGUUAUUGUUGUUCGUGUACGUGUUUCGAUUGAAUGUUAAUUCAAGUGAUCGGAUAUUGAAAAUCUCGCUUGUGAUUUUGGUUUAUGUUGUAUGGUAUAUGGUAAGGUUAUAGAGUUUGUUUAAUUGAAGUCUUGGUUAUGCAUUGUAUGUUUGAUUUUGGGGACCUUUCAUCUUUCCGAUGGCUCGUGCUAUUCGGAGUCUCGGUUUGCUUUUACUAGCAAGAUUUAAUUUUAGUAGUUCUUUUGGCUUUCUCGUUAGCUCAGCUUGGAUGUCGUGAUCUUGAGUUCGAAGUGUUGCAUUCUGUUGUUGCUUGUGCAAUGUCUUUGUUCUGUUUGAUGAUUACAAAUAUUGUUUGCUUAUAAGGAUUCUCUGUGUUUUUGCAUCAGGACAGUUGAUGAAUUAGAUGGCUGUUCGGGUCCAAAAUUUUCCGAAGAAAACAUUUGACGAAAGCUCUGUUCGUUCCCUAUCCCAUUUAUCUGUCAGUUGCACACCGUGGUGGAGUUUGAACGAGCAGCAAAUUGAAAAGCCUUUACCCCACAACGUAAGCUUGAAAGUGGAAACUCCGUCUCAACUCUAUCAUCAAACGAAGCAUUUAGAUCUUCAACUACCUGACCAGGAAUUGACAACGGUUCAAGCAAUUGGUCGAACUCAUUGUGAAGUUGGCGCCAUUGGAGCGACCAGUUCUCAAUGUGAUCCAUCAGAAUCCGGUAUUGAUUCUUCUGGAAGUGUGAUUUAUUAGGAGUCUCAUAACAUGUUCUGUUUAUUAAUUUGAGAAAUUUAUUUCUCCCAUUAUUCUUGAUGUGUUAAUUGGCUUUGCUUUAGUUUUUGAACGAACUGAAACGGAUUGCUAACACGGUUUAUUGAAGACCGAAGGUUGUUGUCAAGCUUAACAGGUUAAUGAUUUUCAUCUGAUUGCGUGCAUCAGGUCCAGAUGAAAGUUGUGAGAAGGAUACCGAGGGUCAAGUGAAACCGGUUUUCUUGGUUAACAAUCCAAACACUUUAUUCAGCCCCUCUCAUCAGAAUUAUAACCAUUCAAUGGUAUGUGUUUAACAAUUAGGAGUAAGCUUGUUUUGCUGUCUUCGUUUUAAAUUUAAUAUUUCUCAUCCCGUUUCAGGCUUGGACUCAAUAUCCAUAUGCCAAUGCUUACUUCAAUGGGAUGUUUACUCCAUAUGGGCUACAGGCUAUUGUAAGUAGGCACUUUUUAUUCAACACCGAUAGGGCUGAGCAUGGUCCGGGUUACUAGGUUAGGGGUCCUGAAACUAUAACCAUGAACCACCCAGAGUCGAUUCUAAAGGUUUUGGACCGUGGAUUGACUCAAUGAUCAACUAAUGCGGUUUUGAAACGACCCUAGACUACAAUCACAUAACUAAAUUUCAUAAAUAUUGAAAGAACUUUUGAAAUUUAAGAGUUCUAAUCUUGCAAGGUAUAUAUUAUGUUUAUAUAUAAAUAUACAUUGUUCAUCUUAAAAUCGGUCAAAAGUCAAUCCCACGGUUCAAUUCUAUGAUCAGAGCCUUCAAUUUGGGUGGUGGAUAGGUAUGUACUUAGACGGAGCCACUCUAGCAUCAGUCUAGGUUUGGUAUAGGUUUCAUCUUGUUUAACCUUAUUUUAUCUUUGUUGAGAUCGCUUCUCUUCUUAUUAUGUAACCAUGGUUGAAAUUUGACCAGAUUCACACCCAGUUGGGAGGAAAUGCUCCAACUCGAAUUCCACUGCCUCUCGAUCUUGCAGAAGAUGAGCCCAUUUAUGUCAACCCGAAACAAUAUCAUGGUAUUCUCCGGAGGAGGCAAUACCGUGCAAAGCUUGAGGCACAAAACAAACUCGUCAAAUCUCGAAAGGUACAUUGAUUUCUUUUCGACAUUUGUUUGAACAAUGACCUAGAUGUUGCAAUGUCUAAAAGGUUAGGUGUGGCAUCGGCAGUUGAAUUAUGUAUCGAAUAUAGUAAGUUAUUUGCUAUCCGACUGUGUCGGUAAUGUUACCAUGUUUCUCAUAUUUGAUCAAUGAUGAUAAAAAUCAUUGGCCACUGAUCUGCUUUAGUUUGAAUUAAACGCAGCCAUACCUUCAUGAAUCUCGACAUCGUCAUGCACUGAAUAGGGUUAGGGGAUCGGGCGGACGCUUCCUUAGCAAAAAGACACUCCAACAGCCCAAUGACAACUGCACUAAUCGAACGAAUAGUAGAUCAGAACUCGAGAGUCAUUGUUCUCGCAUGGCCGGAUAUGGCGGUCCGAAUACAAGCUGCAUGAACAUCUCGAGCGUUUCCGACAAUGACGGCAAUUUCCAGUGGCUGGAACAUGGAUUCGCCGAUAUAUCUCGUGCAGGCAGUACAGGCGAUGGAAUACGGCACGGUGCUUCGGUUGUCCCGUGAGAAGGGGCGGCGGAGACCGGCAACUCAUCCUUGGCUUUACCAAUACCACUUCAAUUAUGUUUCAUGCAUGUUGUGUAAAAAUGUAAUCUUUUUCCAUGUUUACUGUAUUUUCUUAUUUUACACAACUGAUCCAGGAAUAAGGGUGUUACUGAAAAGAGUUUGGCUUGGAAUUUUAUUACAAUGAUCCUUCAUUUGUGGUUCUUUGUUAUUAUGAGGUGUUAUUUCAUCAAUUAUGUAAGAUAUUUUUGUAAUUUUAAUAAAUUUAAAGCAAAUAUAUAAUUUGAUUAGACAUGUCCAAUUAUAGGAUUACGGUUUUCUUACCGUAUUUGAUUUCGACUAAAUGUUUAUGCUACUUGAUUUUUACUUCAACCUUAAUUUUAUUACAACUUCAACACUCAAACCUAGAGUAGUUCAUGGUCAAGCCACAGUCGCGACUCAGUUUCUAAAAAUGAAAUCCAGGCCGAAGCCUGCUUUGGGGUUUCGGCCUCCUUUGGGGGCUCGGCUCGAUUCAUACUCGUUCUACUGUUUAAAAUACAAAAUAUUAUUUUGAAAUAAUUCAUAAUCUCUUUUCAACCCCUAAAUAGAAAGAUAAACGCAUUUUAGUGCACUCGACCUAUGUGUGUUCAAAAGGUUAACUGAACCGAACUAGUAUUAAUCGAAUUGACUAAACUUUUUAAUCCUUUAACGUUAACCAAACUAUUUUUUUUUUUAAAAAUUAACCGAACCGAAAUAUUUCGGUCAAUUUGGUCAGUUAACCGAAUUAACCGAAAUUUAUUUAUUUAUUUUGUUAAAGAAAGUAUAAAACAUUUCAAAAAAAAUGAUAAUGUUCAUUUGACCGAAUUAUUCUAAUUAACCGAAUUAAAACUACAUAUAAAUUGUAUUAUUAAUUAUUAAGUUCGGUUAAUUACCUGAUUUCAAUUUGAAUUAACCGAUAAUUGAACUUCCAAAAAACAAUUAACUGACCUCCGACCGAAUUAGAUUGAUUAACUGAAUUAGACUGGUUCGGUCAAUUAAUUCAGUUUUAACCGAAAUUUAAACACCCCUAGCUCGACCAACGUUUUAUUGCAUUAACAACAAUAUUGAUGCCAAUCAAGCUAAAACUCAAUCGAUUUUACUCUUCAAAAUAUUAAUAAAAUUAUUUUAUAUUAAUAUAUAAAUAUUUUUAUAAUUAAAUUUAAAAAUAUUUUUUAUUAUUUAAAUCAAAUAUAGAAUCAACCGGGCCAAGAUAGAAAUUAUCCGAUUCCGGUCCAAUUCGAUUAACUAAAAAAAUUUUAACAUCCUUAAACCUGGGCCAGUGGCGGAGCCAAUGGUGGGUUGACAGGGACCCGACUAGAGGUGCUCAUGGGCCGGGCAGCCCGGCUCGGCCCGAUGGCCCGCCCAAAAUAUGGGAGGGUUUGGGUAAAAAUAUAGGCCCGAAAUAUGGGCUUGGGCCAAAAAAUAGGCCCGAUUAAAAAACGGGCCGGUCCUCGGGCACCACUUUUUUGACCCGGGCCCGGCCCGGCCUAGCCCGAAUAUAAUAAAUAUUUUUAUUUUUUUAAUUUUAAAAUAUUUUUAAAAUACUUUUUAAAUUUUUUUUAAUUUUAAAAUAUUUUUAAAAUAAAUAUUUUUUAAUUUUUAAAAUAAAUUUUGAUAUUUAUUUAAAAAACGGGCCGGGCCCGGGCUUAUGAAUUUUUUCCCGGGCCGGGCUUGGGCAAAAUUCUAGGCCCAUAUUUCGGGCCGGGCCGGGCCCGGGCCUAGGACCCGGGCCAAAAUUUUUUCUGGACCCGGCCCGACCCAUGAGCAGCUCUAGACCCGACCUCCCCUAAAAUGAAAAAAUUUCUAUUUAGAUCUUUUAUAGUUCAUAAAAUUUUAAAUUGGAAAUAGUAAAAUUACACUUUAGCCCCUUAAAAAGUAAUAAAAAAUUGAUCUAAUUCUUUAAAAAUUAUAAAGAUAUAGACUAUUAAAAUGAUGAAAUUACAUUUUUACUAUUGUAAAAAUAUAUAAUUUAAUUCUGAUCUCUAAAAUUUUUUUUUAGCUCCUGUUAGAUUUAAUUUAUUGAUAUAAAUAUAAGAUUAAACUUGAAUAAUGAAAUAGAUUUUUCGAAUUCAGCAGUUUUGGCCACUAAUUAAAUAAUAUUUGUUUUAUACAUUAAUAUGAUCAAAAAAUGAAUACAUGUUUAAUUUUGGUUACAAAUAAAUAUUAUAUAUUCGUUGCAUUUUGGACCCCCGUGGAUGCACGCACUUGUUUUGAGGGUUUCAAGUUAAUUUUUUUCCAUAAAAAAAUUUAAAAAUAUAUGGUAUUAUAUUUAAUUUAGUAUCUAAAUUUUGUUUAAUUGUUCAAUUAGAUACCCAAACCAAAUGGUAUUAUAUGGUCAAUAAAUAUUUGACAUGUGCGCUUUAGUAAAAAAAAUAUAGGUACUUAAUUGGAACAAAAGAAAAUUUAAGUACCAACUUGAACAUUAAAGUCAAACUUAAAUACUAAAGUGAGACAAAAAAGCACACACUCAAAUAUCAAAUUGAGAAAACUCAAGUACCAAAUCUGGACAACAAAAAAACUUAGGUACUAAAUAUUAUAUUAACCCAUAAAACUUUUUUGCCAUAAAAUAAAUAAACAAUUUAUUGAUUAAUGUAGCUUUUCAGCUAAAACUUCGCGUUGUCUCCUUUGGUCUUGUUUGAUUAUUUAUAUUUUAUUUAUGAAUAAAGAUUAAUAAAAACUUUUUUUUCAUCCUGUUGAUGAAAGGAUAAUAUUCCCUAAGCACUUUAUAUUAUUACAGGGGGGAAGUCGAAAUUUUUUUGAGAGGGUCGAAAUUAAAUUAUAUAUUUUUAGGAUAAUAAAAAUAUAAUUUUAUUAUUUUAAUAGUUUAUAUCUUUAUAAUUUUUAAAGAAUUAAAUCAAAAUUUUAUGAUUUUUGCGAGACCAAUGUGUAAUUUUACCAUUAUUAUUUAAAAUUUUAUAAAUUAUAAAAAGAAUUAAAUAAAAAAAUUUCAUUUUAGUGCAGGUAAUGCUAUUAAUAAUCUUAUCAUAUUAUUAUUAUAAGUGGGGUUAUAAUUUAAUUUUUGAAUCAUUCAAUUGGGGUUUUGUUAAUAUACGCUUUCUGUUGGUUAAUGGAUAUUUAUGAGUAUUGAUAAAAAUUUAAUUAAAAUAUUUAAUAUAUUCUUUAUUAAAAUUUUAAAAAGUAAUAUAUAUAUAGUAAUCUACAAAAAUAGUCACUUUUGUUUGCAUUAGAUUACAUUUUAGUCACUUAUAUUGGAAAUGUUACAUUUUAAUCGCUUACGUUAUCGUUUUGUUACAAAGUAGUCACUCUACCAUUAAGCUCCGUUUCCAAAUGAAUUUUAAAUGCCAACUUGGAUGUCCUCUGCGGUAGUCCAAAUUAAAUUUAUUUAAUUAAAAAUAUAUUUUAUCCCAACUGGAUAUCCAAAUUGACAUUUAAAACCUAUUUAGACCGCCGCGUAGGGCUGUCGUUAGGGAGGUAACGGAGUUUAACAGUAGAGUGACCAUUUUCGUAACAAAACGAUAACGUAAAUGACUAAAACAUAAUAUUUCAAAUAUAAAUGACUAAAAUAUAAUCUGAGUCAAACAAAGUAAUUAUUUUUUUAGUUUACCAAUAUAUAUAUUGAUCGUAUUUUUUUUAAAUUAAAUACUACCAAUUAUUAAUCAUAAAUGAACAACUAAUUGGACAGGUGAAAAGGCAAACUUAACAAAACUCUUCUCUAAAGCGACAGGCAAUUAAAUAUUUAACGGUAUUUAUUAUAUAUUUUCCCAACUAACUUUAUACAAAAUUAAAUUAAAUUAAAAAUUUCUCUCUACUAAAAAUAGUAAAAUAGUUUCAUAUAUGUCAAAUUAAAUAGCAAUUUGAUUCUUUUUGUUAAAAUUUUCAUAUAUUUGUAUUGUUAAAAAUUGAUUUGGAUGAUGGAAUAAUCAAACAGGAACAUAUGGAGCAAAAUACAAUUUAAUUUUUAGUACAAAGAUCCUCAUAAUACUUUUCAUGAUAACUAUAAUUAAUUCGGUCAAAAGCAUAAUACACAAAGAACGAAGAAAAAGUCGAACGAAAAUCAUUCAUGGUAGACAUAUAUAUUAGGAUUAAGGAUUUACAUAUUGCAAUGCGAUUACUGGAAUUUGAAUUUAAAAAACAUUUUUCAUAAAAUUGGUGAACAAAUUGGAAGUUGAAUGACAUAAUAGAAUGUUAAUAAUGAAGUGAUAAAUUCAAUUUAAAUAAAAAUAUUAUUAUUAAAUAUUACAAUCCGUGUACCUAUUCGUAUCUGUAUAUUUUAUCAAAAUAUUAUUAUGUUUAAAACAUUUUAGAUUUAAAUAUUCAAUCGAGUUUGUGAUAAUAAUAAAAGACUUUCGUUGAAAUGAAGUUUUAGGUUCGUUUGUUGGACACACACCUAUUACCCUUUUCAUUAUCAAAUUCGAAAGAGUUCAAAGGUAAAAUCGUCUCAAUAAAUAUAUUUUUCAAUAUUUGAAUUGUUCGUAAACGUUCCAAUAUUUAUAUCAUAAUGUAUUACAUUUUAUUUUACAAAAAAUAUAGGAUAAAAUAUGCCAUAAAUCCAUCUAUUCUUCGAAAAAUUGAAAUUUAGUCCUUACAUUUUUAUUUUUAGGAAUUUAAUAUUUUUAUUUUUCUUAUUUAAAAAUUCAAGUCCAACUGUUAACACUAUUAAAUUUCAUUUUGUUGAAUUCAGAUUAAUUGCAAUGUCAUUUUUUAAUUAAAAGGCUACCAAGAGAGUAUUUUUUUUUACUUUCAAAAUGUUACACCUAAAUUUUAAAAUCUGAAAAAUAUAUAGACUAAAUUCUAAAUUUUUAUAAGGUACAGGGACUUAUGGCAUUUUAACCAUAAUUUUUAUUAGAAGGUCUUUAGGUAACUGACCUAAACCCAAAUGCCGAAUGUCCUUGUGAAGGGAGGGUCAUGCCGAAAUGGGACCCACCACCCUUUGAAUCAAAACAAAAUUAUCUGGAAAUUCAAAUCGAUUUUUUUCUUAAGAAAAAAAAAAACUAAAUUUAAAAUAAAAAAAAUAAAGAAAAACGACCAAUCAGAAAAUAUCACAUAAAGAACACUCCUCUGAAGGAACAGAAAUCCAAAAAACCAAAUCCUAGGCGACGACGAAGAGAAAGAAGGAAAAAAGAAGAAAGGGGAAAAAAUGGUGUCUUACGUAAGCGUGUUGUUGUACGGAGUGGGAGGGAUAGUGGUGGCCGGGAUGGCGUUGCUGGUAGCGUUUCAAGAGAAGCUCGUUUACGUUCCGGUUUUGCCGGGUCUAACUAAGUCUUACCCGAUAACGCCGGCCCGACUCCGGCUCGUCUACGAGGACGUUUGGCUCAGAUCCUCGGACGGAAUCCGACUCCAUUCUUGGUUCAUCAAGCUCUUCCCUGAGUGUCGAGGUCACUCUCACUGUCUUACUCCCGAUCCGCCUUCUUUUUAGCAUUUUUAUUUUUUUUGUUACGUUAUUUUUAAUUGAAUUAUAGUAAUUCUGCUGGUUUUAGUUGUCUUUAAGGAGAUUAGGGAUUAGGAUUUGGUUUUCGGUUUGAAUUUUUGGAGCUAGUGUUUUUUUGCUGGUUUAAGACUGUUUAGUUGAAUGCUGAUUUUUGGUUAAGAUUUUUCAUUUUUUGGAUAAGAAUUUUAUUGUUUGAUUUGUUUUUUGUUUGAAAGGUUAUGUUCUCUUGACUAUUAGACUGUCUAUUUUGCGCUUUUAUCCUUGUUUCUGCUCUAUUUUGAACUUUGAAUAAUGAAAAUAGGAUGAUUGAAACAAAUAGGGUUUAUUUGAAUUAAGUGAGAGCUGAAGUAAUUCUUGAGAUUAAGAGUAUGAACUUUUUUUUAAAAGUAGGUGAAAAUUUGUGGGAGACAUGCGAAUUGUUUGAUUGAUGUAGUGUGAUGAUUGUGAUUAUGAAUGGUGUAUCUGUUUUUUAGUCCAAUUGGUAAGAGUCAGAUAUGAAUGUCAUAACUGAUGUGUUUCUAUUUGUUUUGGGCUAGACACUUGAUUUGGCUAUUACAUGUAUCUGAAAGUUUUGGUAAAAGUUUGUGAGAUCUUGUGAGAAAAUGAAAAUGAAAACGUAACCGAGCAUUCACAAUCAUAUGCUAAGAUGUUGUCUUGUAACAUAUUGUGGUAUGUUGGUGUUCUGUGAUUCAGAUCGCAAUACCAUCUCAUUUCUUAGAAAGUAGUUCUUUUGGUUUUGCAGGCCCAACCAUCCUGUUUUUUCAAGAGAAUGCUGGAAGUAUCCUUUUCAUCAGCUUUAAUGUCUGCAUUAUAAUUUUCAUUUCAUAUUUUAGUGUAUUCAAAUUGGAAAAAUAUUUUUCUCUUCUGAAAUACAAGGUCCUUGGGCAACCUUGACCACUGAUCUGCAGACAUUGCUCACCGUCUGGAAAUGGUACGCAUAAUGCUGCAGAGGUUACAGUGCAAUGUCUUCAUGCUAUCAUAUCGAGGGUGCGUGUUCUAAACAUCUAAAUUGACGCUUCUCUGUUUAUGCUUUCUUGUGUUUUUGGCACCACGACCUUGAUUACUCCUAGUAUACGAUUUAUCUACUUAAUGAAGUUUAACACCCAAUUGAUCAAACAGUUAUGGAGCAAGUGAUGGUCAUCCUUCUCAGCAUGGAAUUAUUAACGAUGCUCAGGUUGUGACUCUGUCAGUUCUUCUAUACUAGAUUCAUAAAGCCACUACCUUACCAAACUAGCAAUCUUAACUGUUUCUUUCUUUUUUUUCGUUUAGGCUGCUCUGGAUCAUCUCUCCCAGCGGACUGAUAUUGACACAGAUAGAAUAGUGGUCUUUGGAAGAUCACUUGGGGGUGCUGUUGGAUCAGUACUCACCAAAAACAAUCCUGAUAAGGUAUUUCUCUUGUAAUUAUUUCAUUUAGUUUUCUUCCUUCCUGAGAGUAAAGAGAUUAGAAUCAGAAACUACACUAUUGUGAUACAGUAGUUCAAACUCAUGCCGGAAAGAUGAUCAACAUACUGGUUUCAUCUGUUUUGCUUGUUGGACAAUUGCCUGGUUAAACUUCAGAUUUGUCUGCUUUCACAUGACAUGACUGUAUCAAUAGAAUGGCAAAAUUUUAUUACAUUUGGCACAUAUACUUGUAAAACUUGUGGUCUGACUGGAGAUGUUGAAUCACUUGCGGCUUACACAUAGAUUUGUAUCAAUGUUCACGAGCCGGAGAAAGAUGAUGUAGUGGUGUAGAGUUAGUUUCAAAGGAUGAUGAGAGAACUGGAAAAAUGCAGUUGCGUAACGCAUUGAAUGAGACUACUGUUUUUCUGGGCUGUGCAGAUGCGUUACAGAUAUUUUAGUUCACUAAAUUAGCAUUUAAUUUUCAUCUAUUUGGACUGUUAUAUUCCCAAGUUGAUUACUAUUGUUUAUUUGUUUCAUGCCGCGUGGCGUGGAUUUCUUCCACUCAUGAGAUCAUGUUGCUCUAAUUUCUACGGUUCAUCUUUCAUGGUAGAAGGCAUUUCUACAAUCAAUUUGUGCAUUUGUUUGCUAGACUCAGCUACAAAUAUUUUAUUAUUUCUGCUCCUAAUAUAUAUUAUCUGUUUUAGGUUAUAUUAAGUAUGUCAUUUCUUGGUUGGCCUUUACAUUCCAGGUUGCUGCAUUGAUAUUAGAAAACACUUUCACAUCUAUUCUUGACAUGGCUGGAGUUUUAUUGCCUUUCCUGAAGUGGGUUAUUGGAGGCCCGGGUACCAAAGGUCCCAAAAUUCUUAAUUUUCUUGUCCGUUCGCCAUGGAGUACCAUUGACAUCAUUGGGCAGGUACACGUUGAUUGGAAAUUUGACUUCACUUCCUGAAUCUUUAAGACUAUUAGUGGCAUAUAUAUGAUGAAAAAUCUCCUAUUACAUAUAUGUAGCCUAUCUGAGUCAACUGUGAAGGAAAUAGUUCCUUAGUUUGAAAGAAACUGUUUAGACAUUUAUCCUUAUGCUUAUCUGUCUAGUAGAUGCUAGGGAGUAAAAUAAGUUUAGGUUCAAGAUAAUUUUGUACCUACAGUUGGGCAUUUUUGACAUAUUUGAAUUUUCCAAAUGUAUCUGUAACUAGGGAAACAGGGAGAUGAUGCUUGUUCUACCUUGUUUGUGUAUGGCACUCGAUCACCUCACUAGUUGAUACAUCUUUUGUCAUUUUGAACAUUACUUCUGCAGGUUAAGCAGCCUAUCCUUUUUCUUUCUGGAUUGCAAGACGAAAUGGUUCCACCAUCCCAUAUGCAAAUGCUGUAUGCUAAAGCAGCUGCUCGUAACAGGCAAUGCAUUUUUGUAGAAUUCCCUACUGGCAUGCACAUGGACACUUGGUUAUCUGGCGGUGAUCAAUACUGGAGAACAAUUCAGCAGUUUUUCGAAAAACAUGUGCCAAAAACUGGAUAUGAUAUUGGUAAUUAACCUUUUUCCCAAUGUAACUAUCGCUGGAUGAUAUUUGACAGGAUUAACCUUUUUGCCUCUAGAUGAUAUUUAUUUUUCCUCCUCUAUCUCUUGCAUUAUAAAUUUGUCUGCUUAAGCUCGAAUUUGCCUCCGAGCCUAGCAGCACCUUGUGAACAACCUAGUUUCUGCAUCUUGUUGAUUGUUUUGUAAAAAUAUACUACCGUUGGAAGCAUUUCUUAAUGUCAUGACACUAAGGCUACAUUGUUUAAUAUUAUAUUCAACGGUGAACAUUUCCACAUCAGAUCUUUAAAUGCCUUCUUUCUGGUACGUUUGGAGGGCAAAUCUGAAUAUAGAAAUUAGAAACAAAACAACACACCUAUAUAACUGUGCUUCAUUUUCACUGUUCUCUUCCUCUUUUGCUUACCUUUUUUUUUUUUUGCUUAUAUAUGGAGUAGCCGGAACUGCCAAUAGAAUGUUAACUACUCGUUACUUUCCUUUCUAUGCGACCCCUUCCUCCUCGCCCGUCUUUUUUUAUCUUUUUGAUUGGUGCCUGAUGUUGCUUUCAGAUUCCCAGAGGAGAGGUGACUAGCAGGCGUGCAAUCUUUUGAGAUUUUAUUAUUUGGCUCACACACCCUGGAUCUCAAACUUUUGUCCCUUUUCUUUUGAAGCUGCAGCUGGUAGAAGCACUCUAUAAACAUACACCCCGCUGUUGUCGUCUUUCAUUGUCUCCACGAUUUUUUUUCUUCUUUUACUGGCAUACGAAACAUAAGCUGAUUAAAAGCGAUAAAGAGAAAGAACGCGAAUUCCCGUUUAGUAUACCGUAUGACUGACUUUGAGGAACAAUCGUGUAAUACCAUCCCGAUUCUGCUGGUUCCAUUUGUAUGAAAUAAGAAAACUAUUAUAAGGAAAAAAAAAAAAAGGGUUGCAGAUGUAUGGUUGGUGCUGAUAUGUUUGAUCUAUUUGCAUCUCUGUUUUUUUUUGUAUGGGGCAGUUUGGUCUUUUAGGUGUUUCAGCAUUUGUUUUGACAAUUUAGGUUGUUUAUGUGAACUUUUUUCUCUUUUUCUGUUUGUCUUCAAUGGUAAUUUUGAACCGUUAGUUUAUAUGAAACUGUUGUGGCAACUCCAAAUCUCUUUCACUUUUUGCGAGACAAUCAAAAAAGAUUCUUCCAACAAUGAAAAUGAAGAACAGUUAAAAUCUUAUGCCAAUCAGUACAAGUCGGUAUGCAUUGGUAUAGAUCUAUAGAUCAAAGCGAAUUAAAACGCACCGAGAUGAUUAAGGGCCAGUUUUUCAUUGUUUAAAAAAAAUAUUUUUGACUUCAAAAGCACUUUUGAAAGAAAAGCUGUGAAGAACAAGUUACUUUUGGUUGAAAUUUUUAACUUUUCAAAAAUGCUUUUUAAAAGUAAUUUUGAAAAUGAGUUGAAAAAGAGAAGUUAAAAAUUUUAACUUUUACUCUCCCAAAAGCACUUUUAAUGCUUAAUUACUUUUUUACCCUUCUAAUAACAUAAUAUUUUUCUUUUUUUUUCUUGGUGUUUAAUUACAAUUGUGUUAAAAUCAUUAAUAAAAAAUAUUUUUUAAAAUACUAAUUACAAAUAUUUAAAUAUUUAAAAUAUAGUUUAUAUAUUCUAAUUAAAUUUUAUAAAUAAUUAAUAUUUAUUGCUUAAAAAUAUUUACAAUUUAUAUUUUAUAUAUUAAAAUAUUAACAAGAAGUUAUAAUAAUUUUUUUAUAUUAUUACUAAAAUAUAAUAAUAUUAACUAAUUUAAAUAUUAUUUAAAUGUAUAUUUGUUACUUGAUAAUAACAUGUCUAAAAUGGAUAUUUUAUUUCUCAAAAGCACUUUUUGAUAGCAAUGCUAAACACUCAAAUUUUAAGCCAAACUUUUCAAAAUCACUUCUCAAAAUCACUUUUUCACAACACUUUUCAAAAGCAACGAAAAAUUAGCCUUAAAACUUAUAGAAAUUUACAUUGAAAUAAAAAUAAAAAUUAAAUGUUUCGAUUAUUAUCGAAAUAAGACAUUUUGGUCAUAUGAGCGGUAUUGGUGCAGAAUUGACUUUUUUUACCAUGAGACCUUAGAUUGAAACAACAAAAAGAAAAGUAUUAAUGGAUUAGGGUCUCAUCUUGUAAGCAAAUUAUUAUUAAACUAUUCUAUUAAAAAAAUCAAAUUUAAUUUCAUUAUUGUUGACUUGUUGAGAAUUAAAUUCGAGUAUUUUAAUUCUUAAUUAUUUGAAAUUUAGUAAAGUAUAAAUAAUUAAAUGAAAACGAAAUACAUUAAACGAAACAAAACUUAAAUGAAUUAAAUUCAAUUUAACCUAAGUUAUCUCCAAAUUUUAAUUUAUUUUAAAAUUUAAAAUUUAAACGAAUCUCUGAAUUGAAUAUUAAUUCGACAUGUAAAACCUAUAAUUACAUCAUUCAAAAAAAACAUUCAAACGACUCCGCAAAUAUUAUUGUAUAAACAUGCAUACCCACUAGAUCCUUAAACGUGGCAAGGGUUCAACCAAACAACUUACGCCACGUGUACUACAAAAGGUCCUUUUCAUCCAUGUCAGAGUUCUAGGCAUUCCCCCCUUAUCUCAAAAAAGCAAAACAAAAUUGAAACCCACAAAAUCUAUCUGACCUUUAAUUAUAAUAAACAAUUAUUAAUUAAAAAGAAAAAUUAUACUAAAUAAACUAAUUUUUUUGUUUUUUGUUUAUCCAACUGCUCUCUGCUAAAAUACUAUUUAUUUUCAGUGUUACCUUCCUGUCUUCUGAUAUGGUUUUUUGUUGUUUUCAAAAUUUGAAUCACAACAACACUGUGUAUAGAUUUUCGAUUUUUUUUUAUUUCGUCUCUCUCCUUUUGUUUUUUUUUCUCGUUAAAACUCACUCCUUUGUUUCCUUCUCUUUUUUUCACUCAAAAGUGUACCGAGAAUGGACGGAGGAACACUGCAUAACCUCAGAACAGUAGAGGAAGUCUUUAAGGAUUUCAAAGGCCGCCGUGCAGGAAUCAUCAAAGCCUUAACCGCCGGUCUCUUCGUCUUCUCCUCCUCUGAGUUCUUUUUAGGGUUACUUUUUUUUCUAUGUUUAUUUUAUUUAUAGCUUGUUUUAUGUUAACGCAGUCUAAUCUUCUGUGUUUUUUUUUUCUAUUUUGUUUUCGGUCGCAGAUGUUGGAGAAUUUUUUGAACAGUGCGAUCCUGGUUAGUUUUUUUUUUUUUACUUGCUUGAAAGUUGCACAUUCAAAAUUUAUGUUUGUUACGUUAUGAUUGUUGGACGUAAUGAUUAAAUUAGCAUGUACCUCAAAUCAAUUUAUUUAUUUUCCUAAUGAGGUGUUGUAGUAUCCCUGAAUUUUACUAAAUUUAGAUGUAAUUUGUCUAGUUAAUGAAGCAAAUAGAUCACUUAUUUGUGGUUGUUUAAGUUUAAAUCCUGUGAUCGGAACUUAGAUUUGAUUGAAACAACUUAAUUCAUUUCCUUGUUCAGCAUUUUAUACAACUUCCUUUAUGCUCUAUCGUUUGUUUUGAAACAUGGAUUUGAAAUGUAUAACCUCUCAAUCUCCAAACCAAUAGUUUUAUUUGUUUCUCUUGGUAAUAUGACUUUCAGUAAUUUGAUUAUAUAUGAGUACGUUAAUGGUUGAUUUCGUCCGUUCUUGAUGGUUUUUUUCUGUUUAGUAUUACGUUGUUAGUGAUUUGCCAAACUUACUUAAGAAUGGAUGUGAUUACCCUGUUUCUCUAUUAUGUCUACUUGGGAUUUCGUUCGACCGACAUUGUGUUUUUCAGAGAAGGAGAAUCUUUGCUUGUAUGGACUUCCUACUGAACAGUGGGAAGUUACUUUACCUGCUGAGGAAGUGCCUCCCGAGCUUCCGGAGCCCGCAUUGGGUAUUAACUUUGCUAGAGAAGGAAUGCAAGAAAAGGACUGGUUGGCACUUGUUGCUGUUCAUAGUGAUGCGUGGUUACUAGCAGUGGCUCACUAUUUUGGUGCUAGGUUUGGUUUUGAUAAAGCUGACAGGUAUAAUUUCCCCCCUUCUCUGCUGCAUAACUCCAGGGAGAAAUUAAUAAUGCUUGGUGGACUGUACGCUUAAUCAACUUUAUUUUAACUGUAAGCUUUUCAUGUAGCCAUUAUGUCUCAUCCUUCUUGUUGAGUCGUCAUGUCAUGUGGGGGAUCAAGUAUUUAAAUGUUUCACUGGAUAUAAGUGCAUUUAAGCAUGUUGUGCACAUCAUUUUUCACCUCGGGUUCUGUUAGGUCAUAUCCUUUAGAUGAAUGGUUAAGGACAUGUGAGUUAAUGCUGGACAUGCACAUGAAGCUUGGAAACAGAUAUCCAUAAAUUAAGUGAAAUUUAUUGCAUACAAUAUUUUUUCAUAGAGAAGUUUGAAAAGAUUGACUGGAAUUUUUAAUUAAGGAAGAAUGCUGCCAUUUUUGUUGUAGAUAUUAAUUUCUGAGUUAAUUUGAUGCAGGAAACGUCUCUUCACUAUGAUAAAUGAUCUCCCUACAAUAUUUGAAAUCGUCUCUGGAAGUGCCAAGAAACAGACAAAGGAGAAGUCAUCAGUUUCAAAUCAUAGCAGCAAUAAAUCCAAGUCCAGUGGAAAAGCUGUAAGUGGAACAUUUUUUAUUAAAGUUUUCUGAUGGCUUAAGUAAAAUAUGAUUAUCAGUUAAUAGUAAUGGAAAAGAAUAAUGGCAAUGUGUGGGAUAUCUUAAACUUCAUGGUUCUGUUAUAUUGGUAGCCAAACCUUUUGUUCCUUAUUUGGGCCAAACUUAGUUGAACAUUCUUGAAAACCAAAACAUUUAAUUUCAAAGCUAAUUAUGUCAUCUUAUUCUGCAAAUUAUCCAUAAUGCGGACUUAUCCAGUCUGUCAAGGCUGUUUUAUCACAUUAUGAUUCCUGAAGCUGGAUUCCAACCCCCAGCUAUGACAAGUUACUGACAUUUUCAGUUAAAUACAUGUAAUGAACUAAGCCAAGCGUACUUCUAUCUAUAUAGUAUCAAUUUUAUGUGGAACUCUUUCAAUUGAUUCAGUGUUUAUUACGUUCAUUUUCAUUUCUGCCCCACGUUAUACACGGCUAUUUCCUUUUUCACAGAGAGGGUCUGAAUCUGCUAAAUACUCAAAGAGCGUGCAACUGAAGGAUGAGGAAGAGGGUUUGGACGAGGAAGAGGAAGAGGAGCACGGGGACACCUUGUGCGGCGCAUGCGGAGAGAACUAUGCUUCGGAUGAGUUCUGGAUUUGCUGCGACAUAUGUGAAAAGUGGUUCCAUGGCAAAUGCGUAAAGAUCACCCCCGCCAGGGCCGAGCAUAUUAAGCAGUACAAGUGUCCCUCUUGCAGCAACAAGAGAGCACGACCUUGACCCCAAGGAAAAUGCCAGUUCAAUCAGAUUGUAAUCUUUAUCAGGGACUUUCAGUUGGAUGUAAAGUAUUAGUAGUUUCCCGGUGCUGAACAUGUACUCUUGAUUCCAGAUUUCGGAUAUAUAACAUUUCACUCGCAGGAAAACUCGUUGCCAGAUAAAGUAAAGACCGUGCUAGUUCAUUUGCAUCUCGAUGGGUUAAUCGUUUUCUUUUUGUUAGGCUAUGUGUAGCAUAGAAUUUUCUCAUUUUGAGAGGAUCUGGUUUAGAUGUUUUUGAUAAACCCUUAUCAGACAUACAUUCAUAUUUGACAAUGUCACCCGAGUCUAGUAACACAGAACUGAAUGAAGGCAAAAUUCGUGUCUUGAGUCCUGAGUUUGCUUUUAGAUGGUUGUUCCAAAAGGACAAGAAAAUGUUAUACAAUGCCCAAUAGACAUAUUCAUAGGUUAGAUUACCUGUUUUGGCUCAAAAGUUCGACUGAAAUAUGGCAAAAGUAUUCCAGAAAAUGAACUUGGAAAAAAUUGGACUCGUUUAAAAUAUGAGUACGAGUCAAGUUUAGGCUUGAAUCUUUAAGGCCCGAGCAUGGCCUGAUCCAGCCUAUUUUUAAGUUUAUAGUACUUUAUAUUAUGUUAUUUUUAUAUAUUAUGUAAUUUAAAAUACAUUAAAAAAAUAAAUCUAUACCAAAAUAUAUAAUACUAUUAUAAUGUAAACAUUAAAAUACUAUUAAGAUGACUAUAUAAAAAAUUUCAAUAAAUAAAAAAUAUAUAAAAUUAUUAAAUAUUAAAACAAAAUAAAAUAAAUAUUCUUUUAAAAAAAAUUAAAAAGUAAUAUGGAUAGGCCUAAAAUGAAAUUGGGUUAAUCUUUUACAAAUAUAAGUAGGUUUAGGCAAAAUUUUAAGUCUAUAUUUUGGGUUGGACCAAAUUUGGAUAAGUAUAAAGUAUGUUAAUAUUAUACUUAGGACCGACCCGACUUGACCCAUGAACACCUCUAGAUAUUAGUACUUAAGUACAUUUAAGCAUGUUUAAUUACUCUCAAAUAAAAAAUAAUAAUAUUUUAUAAUUAAAUUAAAUAAGAAUAUUAUUGUUAUUAAAUAUAAAUUCCAAGGCACUACCCUAACGGUGGCUCAAUGUAGUCCAUGCUCAUGUAGGAUUUUCAAAAGAGACUAUAUUUAGAAAAGAGAGAGGAAAAUGUAAAGCUUACCUUUGCUUUGUUUUUGACUUUUUGAGUUGCAUGAAUGGAUGCAUUCAAACAAAAUGCACGAAAAAUCUCUGCAAGCAGAACUCAUCAACACUGUCUAAUAAUCUCAAAGCAGAUUCCAAUGCAUAUACUACUUAUCAAUAUCUGAUAGUUUCAUUGGGUAAUAUAACGUUAGGGUUUCGAAUAUGAGGAUUAAGGGCUGCCAAUUCUUUCCAUUUAGUCCCGGUACCGUGAAUACCAGACGAGAUGCUCCACAAAGUGUCACCUGGUUGAACCUUUGUUGUUGAGGGGGUUGAAGAUUUAAAACCAGGCUUGGAUUUCAAUAAUGGAUGCUUAUUGCUCUUUCCCAUUCCAUUGGCAAGCAACCAUCGAGAACCGGAUUGUUGUUGGGUCGUGCUACCCCAAAGUUUUUUCUUGCCGGGCUCGGUCUUCAAACCUGCAACAUGAACAUCGGUGAUUCUGUAUUGAGGAAUACCUUCCUCUUGGGAAGCUUUUUCUUCUUUCAUCUCCUCGGGUUUCACCUUUUCUUUUGUGGCGGCCUCGGAGUCAUCAUCAUCUUGAUUGUCGUUGCUCAAAGCCGAAACAGUAGCAUAUAUCUUUGGUUUUGAUGGGACAAACACUCUCUCCACUUGAAUAAGAGCAAGCAUGGGUGCACCAACUGGCUCGUAGUUUCUCAUGGGAUCGCGAAGUUGCACCAUCAAUGCCACUGUGAAGUUAUUCCCUAACAACCCACACUUUUUACCCCGUUUUUUCUCUCCCUUUGACCCUCUGAGAAUCGAGUCCAAUGAUGUAGCAUGAUGAGCAGCAAGGAUUUUAGAAGUUCGCUCGCUUAUUUGAUCUUCAUCGUCAAUAUCCCCGGAAUCAAGUCUCAUCCAUUCAUCAAGAGUUAGUGACAGACCCAUUAAUCCAUCGACAUUAUCACCGCUGUCUUUUAUAUCCAACAAUUGCAACCCGGCAGUUCCAUCCAGACCAAGGGACCCACUAAUACCGAACCCCUUGCCUUGAAGGGCUGAAAUUUCCCCAAUAGACUGUGCACUGAUGUUUGAAGGUGCAUCCUCAUCUGACAUGCCCGACUGAAUUCUCAACCCUUCCAUUGAGAGCGCUUCAAUCUUAUCCAUUGCCAAUGGAGCAAGAUCUUCAAGGGCUACACAAUCUGACCCCAUCUCAUUGACAGAGGUUGAAUUAAUAUCGCUACAGCUGGGUCGAGGUGAUCUUCUUUUAACUUUCUUUUGCCUGCUAGAUUCCCCAACUUCAAAGUCAUGCUGCAACGAACAUUGCCUGCUUAGAAGAAGCAAUGACAUAUAAUAUCAGUACAAUUUCACAAACAGUGUUUAUGAAAGAAGUAUAUGUUGAGGAACCAAAGAAAAAUGAAUCACGAACCUCUGCGGUCCCUCCAGAGCAGGAGCAGCUUCCCAUGCAACUUGUUCCAUAGUUUUACCGGUAAUAUCCUCCAAAGGCAUCAACUUAUUUGCCUGCAUAGAUAGCUUCUCAAUCCCAACAGAGGCCAGUUGCUGAAGUAUAUCCAUUAUACCAGAACCCAUUUCUGCAGGUACUACAACCGGAUUAGACACCUGCAUGAUCAGGUUCCCACCACUUUUAGCAUCCUGGAAAAGUGAGGGAUUCAUAGAUCGCAAAAAUCCUCCGUUCUUUGUCUGAAGAAAUGGACCUAAACCAUCUCCAAGAGGAGGCAGUUCAAGUGGAUCUUCAGGAGGCAAAUCUACUGGACUCCCAAACCCACCAGAAGACCCAGAUGGAGAUUGCUGAAAAGCCUUCUCAUUCAAUCCCCACUCACGCAUUAAUGCUUCAGUCUCCAAGCCUUCCAAUACUUUAGCUCUCGUUUUAUUCCUCCCACCAGUUUCCUUCUGAUAUUCUUGCUCAGCAUCUUGGAUAAAAGAUGAUAAAUCAAAACUCUCAGUCAAGCUCCCCCAACCAGAUGCAGUUGAGGUGUCAAAACCAGAUUCUAGUUCCUCCUCAUCAGCCAUUUCAAAAUCAAAUAAUGAGCAACCGCUGGCUAGGGUAUCCUUCUCAAAUUGCCUUAAUAAACGCUCUCUUGGUGACUCGGGUUCACUCUCAGAACUCAAGCCGAGUAGACUAUGAUCAAUACCGAGCAUGCUCAGGAAAUCAGUGGCGAUAGAUUCAGUAGCUUCAUCCAAGCCAAGUGAUUCCGCCUUAUAAUCACCUUUAUUAUCCAUGUAGUCCUCCGGAUCUUCAAGGCCAGGAGAAGAAGCUAAUGCUUCCCCCAAAUUUGUAAUACCAUCUAAAGCUAAAUCCAAUUCUCUCAUCAGCGAUUCAUUUGAGCACUGUUCAUCCUCUUCGGAACUGCGAUCUUGCACCACGAGCAUAUCUCCUUGAUUAGAGGGAUGAAGCUGAGAACAUUCUUCAAAAUUUUCUCCCAUGCCAGGAUUAAUUUCAUCAACUUGUGGGGUUUCUACGGUUGAUAAAGUAGCCGCAAGGGAAACUUCCUCCGACCUAGCCUCUCCUUGAUUGGAGGGAUGAAGCUGAGAACAUUCUUCAAAAUUUUCUCCCACGCCAGGAUUAAUUUCAACAACUUGAGGGUUUUCUACGGUUGAUAAAGUAGCCACGAGGGUACCUUCCUCCGACCUAGCCUCUCCUUGAUUAGAGGGAUGAAGCUGAGAACAUUCUUCAAAAUUUACUCCCAUGCCAGGAUUAAUUUCAACAACUUCAGGGUUUUCUAUGGUUGAUAAAGUAGCCACGAAGGUAACUGCCUCCGACCUAGCUUGUUCUUCUGAAGACAACCCUAUCCCUUUUUCGUCAACAGAGAAGUCAUUAUCUUCAGUUUCUUUUUCAAUAUAUUCGUUAAUUGAUUCAGAUGCAAGAGAAGUCAGAGGUCUGAUGGGCUCAAAAUGUUCAUUUAACACAUCAGGUUCAGGCUUGGAAGCAGCAGAAGCAUUGGGCUUUUCUUCAUCAAGUUUCUGGUCUACUGUAUUUUUAACAUCGAGCUGUGGCUUUGGCACAGACAAAACUUCAUGAAGAUCUUUUAUCUCUUCCACAACGGGAGAUGAGCCAAAAGGCCUGGUGUUAACUAAACUGGGAAGACUCUUAACACACCUUGUUGUGUCCAGGUCAAGGUGAUCAAAUCCAGCAACUGCUUUUCCUGUACUCUGAUUAUUCUGCUUUAUAUGUGACAACUCAGCACGAUGCUGAUUACUUUUGAGCAGCACAGAAUUAUCCCCGACAACCAUAUAACCAAAACUAACAUUCAUGGUAGCACCUUUGGCCUUCCCUGAUAACUUAAAACUUGUUGUCCACUUCCCCGUACUCUUCUCUUCCUCUAAUUCUUCCAAUGUAAGUGGAAGUAACCGCGUAAGGUCAACUCGAUGCUUCCCCAAAUCAAAGUCGGGUGUUCCCAACACAGAUGCAAAAAGCAUGCAAUGCUUAGCCUCAUACUUGGCCGAAAGGCCACUUCGAACACCAUAUAUGGAACACGUAUACGUCAACUUCUCUCCGAAUUCCGCAGUUCCAUUAAAAACUUUAGAAGGACGAGUUGUUAGAUCCCCAUCCCGCCUCUUCCAAUGCACAAAUAGACUAAGAUCAUUAAAACUUACUGGUAAACACUCAAUGGAGUGUACUUCAAGUGAGAAACAACAAUUAAACCUCCGGUUCCGAACAUUUGAAAACACUUUCAAAGGCUUCCAAUUCCAAACAGAUUUCUUCUCUUUAAGCAAAGGGUCCUCAUUACUAUUUUUCACUGUCGAUUUCGGUUCCAGCAAAUUGGUUUUCCGGGUUGGUUUAGACCGAGAAUUAAAAGCAGAAAAUGAAUUGCUUGAACGGUUCUUGUCUAAAUACAAAGCUUUGCUCAUAGUUUCGAUUUCAUUCAAUAACUUCCCAUUACUCGAAUUCCCACCAUUCUUCUUCCUAGCUUCAGCUUUCGACAACAUCAUCUUUUUCAUACAUAAAAUAAAAAAUAAUAAUCAGAUUAAUCUAUAGAAGUUAAAAUAAAAACCCUUACUGAAAAUUCAUUGAACAAAUCGAAAUCGAAAUCUAACAAAAGAUUCAAAAUUACGUAAAUUAAAUUACCAAAUUGAGCUUCCCAGAGACUGGAAUUUCACAACUAGUUCAAUAUAUAGUCUCCCUUCGCCGUUUGGCUAUCAAAAAAAUCAGGAAAAAAACGUUCCGAUUCAAAAAAAAAAUCAUAUAUAAAAAUCUAGCAAAAAAAACCGCAAUAAGCAUAGGAGCUGAAGAGAAUCAGACGGAGAUAUCGAAAACUUACAGUAAGCAAAUUAAUGGCGGCUGAGACUAAUGAACCGGGAUUGUCUCCGCGGUUCGCUGCCCCACUUUGGGCCUUGAAUUGCCGCUGCCUUUUACUCGAACCAACAUUUUGAAACCAAGCUAUGAAAAGGCGUUAUAUUAUGCGGUUUAUAUUAUGUUCUACUUUUUUGGUCCAAUUUUAAAUAUUUUUUAAAACAAUUCUCUUAAAAACAUAUGAAUUAAUUGUAUUACGCAAAUUUUAAUUAAAAAAAUACUUGGUUUCUUUAAAAUUACAUAUUUUUUCGUUUAUUAAAUCGAAUAGAAUAAUUGAAAGAGUUUUAUUUUUUUACGAUUUAAUCCAUUUAAUUUUGGAUUUUAUCACAUUUUAUCAUGUAAAAAUUAGAUUACAUUUUAUUUUUUAUUAAAAAUGGACAAAUUAAUCUUUAUACAUUAUAUAAGGGGCGUAGCUAGGGCAGAUUGUUAGGGUCUCAGUCUCCCUAAAAUAGAACAUUUUCAUUUAGAUCCUUAAAAAUUUUAAAUUAGUAAAUGUAAAAUUAUACUUUGGUCUCUUAAGAAUAAUAAAAAUUUGAUUUAAUCCUUUAAAAAUUAUAAAAAUAUAGGUUAUUAAAAUGGCAAAAUUACAAUUUUAAUAUCGUAAAAAUUACAAUUUAAUUUCGGCCCCCUUAAAAAAAAUUUCUAGCUUCGCCCUUGCGUUAUAUCAAAAAGCAAAUUAAUCAUUUCUGUUAAAAAUUUCAUCCAUUUAUAUUGUAAAAAUUGGUAUAAUUGACGAAAUAACUAGACAAUGACAUAUGACAUGCUGCGUGUGCAUCAUGUUGACACAUAAAAACUAAUUUUUAAUGGUAAAAAAAGAUAAAUUUUAAAAAAUUAAACCAAUUUAUUUUUUUGGUCUAAUUUACUUAUUGAAUUAUCAAAAUACUUUACUUUACUUGCGUUGCAUGGAAAUAACGUGACGUUAUUAUUGAGCAGCUAACUUUACAAAAGGAGUUAAAUAUGGAGAGAGCAUAUCCUUCUUUUUUUUAAAUGUUGAGAGAGCAUAUUCAAUUGGUAGUUUUUUUUUAAUUAAAAAUAAUGAAUAUUUAUAUAUCUAAAUUUUUAUAUUAUUUUAAAAAAAAACAGAUACCUUAAAGAAAAGAAAAGCAUUACUUUAAAACUUAUAUUUUACAUAAUUAAUUUAUUUUAAAUAUACAAUAUAUUUAAUUUAUGAUAAUUUUGGUAGCUUUUAUUCCCGCGUUACCUAAUUUUGGAAUAUUUACUUUCCUUUCCAAUUCACAUGAGAAUUGAGAAAGUUUUAGAAAACCCUCCAAGAGAAGCAAAAGCAAAAGCAAAAUUUGAAUUUAUUUUAAGAUUUUACUUCUAUAUCACUUUUUUAGAAAUAUUAUUUAUAGGUGGAUUGAGUUUUAAUUCGAUUAGUGUGGGUAUUGUUGUCAAUGUAGGAGGAUGUGGGUUCGAACACGUUGAAAAGUAUUAUCCUCUUAUUUAUGGAUUGAGAAGGGCCUAUGAAUAGUUCUAGGCAUUGAAUAAAAAAAUAGAUACGAUCAAAAUCUAUAAUAAAAUUAUUCAAAAAAAUAUUAUUUAUAAUUAUAUAUUCAUUUAAUACAUAAAAUUAAUUAAUAAAAUUGUCAAAUUAUUUAUUAAAUAUCUUAUUAUUACUACAAAUAACAUACUAAUUAAUUUUCUAAAUGUUUUAAAAAAUGUUAUUUAUUUAUAUCAAAUUCAGUAAUGAAUUUAGUAAUUGAAGUUUAUGCACCAAAAAGAAAAUUUGUAAUAAUAUUACAAGCUACAAUGUUUUAAAAAUAAACUGUUUCACUUCAGUGGAAUUUUGGUAAAUAUAUUUAAGUAAAUUGUAUUUUAAUUUGUUUGGAAAAUAAUGGAAGGUUCUAAAGAAGUUUGACAAAGUUUUUGUUAGUGAAGUGGAAUCCAAUGCUUUUGUAAGUAGAAAUUUGCAGGUAAGUUUUAUAAAUUUUAACUUAUCUUCGGCAUCAAGGUUGACAUUAAGCAUGUGGGCUGGAGCUGCAUUUAUUGUGAAAUCCGGAUGGGUUCCUCUAGCAUUGUCUAGACCUUCAUCAUCAAAAUCACUCUCUUCUGAUUCAAAAAAUAAUACAAUUUUUGAAUCAUCUAGCCUGAACUCUCGGAUUGGAUCAUUAUCGAUUUCAAAUCCCUCUUUGUUAUCAACCCUAAUUAUACAUCUAGGGUUAGAUGUCCCUUUGUCGGUGUAAGUUGUAAGGAGUACAUCACUUGUUCUUGUAAACCUUACGUUAUAACCAAAAUCACUUGUGGAUUGCCCACUGGUGUAACUUGAUGGCAUACCCAUAUAAGUGUUUCCAGCAUAGAACAUUGGUGUUCAAAAGUUGAAAUCAAAAGCACUUAUAGAAUGUUGUGCUAAGGUGUUAAAGUUUAGGUUACCAACUAACCCCAACUAUUGGACAAACUAUAAGUCAAAGUUGAAAUCAAAAGCUGAAAAUAUGAAUGCCUUCCCAUUGAUGAUUUCGGCAUUUCCUGAUAGGAGCAUUGUAACAAUAUUGUCAACUUAUCGCAUACUCGUGUGGUUGGACUUUCUGCUUCUUGCUCCCAAUAGGCAUAAACUAUAACUAUUGUCGAACUUGGAACAUAAACUAUAACUAUUGUCGAACUCGGAACACCUUCAUCAAUAUCGACAAAUUGGACAUAUAACUCUAGUAUAACAUUUUCA
rnacentral:lncRNA from 1 species